rnacentral:lncRNA from 1 species
ACAGAUACAACUUCAGCCACAUUAGAAUGGGCAAUGGCUGAGCUAUUACGCAACCUUGAAAAGCUGUCAAAAGCUCAAGAGGAGCUGAAGCAAGUCAUUGGCAAAGGAAAAUCAGUGCAGGAAUCAGACAUCACUCGGCUCCCUUACUUACAAGCCAUAAUCAAAGAGACCUUCUGGCUGCACCCAGUUGCCCCACUUCUUCUCCCUCGCAGAGCCCAAGCAGACAGAAAUCUGCGGUUACAUUGUACCAAAGGGUGCACAAGUGUUGGCCAACGCAUGGGCUAUUGGCAGAGACCCCAACAUUUGGGACAGCCCUACCUCAUUUAUCCCUGAAAGGUUUUUGUUUUUGGAUAUCGACGUUACCGGCCAUAACUUUGAACUUAUUCCGUUUGGUGGUGGGAGGAGAAUAUGUCCUGGAUUGCCUUUUGCGAUGAGAAUGUUGAAUUUGAUGUUGGGUGCACUUAUUAACUCGUUUGAUAAUUGGAAGCUUGAAGAUGGAGUUGUGCCGAAAAAAUGAACAUGGAAGAGAAGUUUGGCAUCACUUUACAGAUGGCUCACCCUCUAAUAGCUGUGCCCAUCAAGUAUUAGGAGAACCAAACCUAGCUAGCUAUGGUUUCUAAAAUAAAUGGAUUUAUGCUUUUAUUAGGGAGUUACAAUAGUAUUUCAGUUACAAUAAUUAAUCUUAUUAAUGACAAGAAAUGGUCAAUUGUCAGUUAUAUUGUUAUUAGGUCAUAACUCCAUAUUUAUGUUUAUGAUAAUAGCUUGCUCUAAUUGUAGAUUUUUCCCUACAAACUUGUGUGUGUGUGUGUGUGUAUAUAUAUAUAUAUUAUAUAAUGAUCAUAUGAAUUACUAAGGAAAAAUCAGUUUCUACAUGGUAUCAGAGCUAAUGGCUAAUGCCGAUUAGUGAUUCUCCAGUUGCCAACAUUGAGAGUCGUUGGCGCUCCUCACUCCUCACCCAUAAGGAUGUGUGUUUAUGUAUUGUGCUUUUUCCUCUCCUCUUCUCAAAGAUGAACAUAUAUUUUUCUUUCCACCUUAGCUGUGGCCACACCUUUCUUUUACCAUUGCAACCUUUUCUUCUGUUAGCCCGUUAUUAUUAUUUUUCAAAAUUUUGGUGUUACUUGCUUUACUAGGCUUAGAUCUCAUACCCACGUAUUUCUUCACAACACAUCACAGGAAGAUGAAUUUAGAAACUGUAGAUCAUUGCUCUGAACAUUUGUUCACUACACAUCCCCUUCAAUAUGAUGGUAGAUUGACCUUGCGAAGGCUAUAUCUAAAGGAAAAGCAAACAGAACCAUGCCACUAGAACACAGAUUUUUGUUUUGUAAAUUUUUUAUUAAGUUAUUCGGUGUUGAUUUUUCAAUUUAAAAAAUGUGUUUGGAAAUCUUGUUGGCUCAAUCACUUUUCUUUCUUUGUUUCUACUCUUCUACAAAUUUUUUUUUUUUUUGGGGGGGUGGGGGCGCGCUAGUGGGGAUCGUCAAUGGGCCAGGCCGGGCUAACCCGGCUCAAAUUUAAUGGGCUUGGGCCGGGCCGGGCUGGGCUUUUAAAAAAAAUUCAAAGUCCAAGCCAAACCCAUGAAUCAGGCUUAAGAAAGCCCAUCGGGCCGGGCCUAAACGGGCCCUACUUCAUUAAAAAAAAAUCAUAAACUUAAUCAUAAGGGCAUUUUAGUCCAAAUUUGAGAUUAAACUCACUUAAUUCUAAUAUUUUCACAUCAAACCAAAUUCAUAAAACACCAAUUAAAGUUACACAACUUAUAAGAUUUUCCAUAAAAAUAAUAAAAUCAAGUAUUAUUUUUGAGGUUAUUACAUAAUUAGAUCAUAAUACGUUUUAAGAAAUAAUUUUAAAAAAUAAUAAGUAUCAAAAAAAUAUUUUUUUAAAGGAUGGUAUGAAUAAAUUUGCAAAUAUUUGGUGAUAUGUUCAAGAAAAACAUGAUUAUAUUUGGUGGCAUGAUUAUGUUUCGUGACAUGAUUAUAUUUGGUGGUGUGAUAUGUUCUUCAUCUUAUAUAUAUAUAUAUAAAAUUGUUGAAUUAAUAAUUGACACAAAUUAAUGUGCUAAUCAUCCAAUUAUAAACUAGGAAUGAGUAAAGAAAAGUAAAUGAAACGAAACAAAUUAUAUAUGUGAUUUAAGUGAUAUAAUCCUAAACCUAAACUCUUAUUUAUACAUAAUUAUAUAUGUAUAUGGGCCUAACGGGCCGGACUUUUGUGGGCGGGCUGGGCCGGGCUUUCUUGGGCUUAAUUCGACUGGGCCGAGCUUCAGACACCCAAGCCCAAACAUAGCUCAGCCUAAGGCGGGCCGUGCCAUCUCAAAGCCCAUAACUGGCCAGGCCGGGCUUUUUUUCGAUGGGUCUGGAGGGCCCCCAUCGGCCCAUGAUCCCGCGGGACAAAUGAUGAGGCCUACGCGCUACUUUGGCAAUGAGUGAGAACUGGUGUUAGAAGGGGAUGGAAAAGUCGUGGAAAAAUUAGGUUGGUUUUAUUUUUUAUUUUUUUCCUACUAGUUUUAUAUUUUUUAUAUUUAUAGUGAAUUGGGCUAAAGAAAUGGGUUGAGUUUUGGAGUUCCCAAGCAGCCCAAAAUUUCCACUUUUUGGCUCAUCAAUGGGCCAUGUGAAUGCUUGUAACCAUCCAUACCACAACCCACUCAUCAAGCCCUGGGCAUUUGCGUGGCUAGGGCUCACUUAAGCUUGUAGCGUGGCUAAGUGCAAAAUAAUGGUUUUCCGCUUGGCAUUGCAUGUCGAUUGGCAUGCUCGUGCUCGAAUUUUAUUGUUUUUUAAAUGGCUAUGGUCGAGUCAAAACGACGCUUGACGAGAUAACAUUUAGCAUGGGUUCAUAGAGCCAGUACAUUUUACAGGCUUGCUACGACCUUUUUACUUGGCGUGUUGCGUAUUUGCUUGGCGUGGCACGUGGAUUGCAACUCACGUGAGAGUGUAUGAUGAACUUUCGUGUGCCCAAAUGGGGGUUUCUUCUCAGUAAGGUGUCGCACUGGGUAGGGAAUAUAUUUGGGCAUACUCUUAGAUUUUUUUGGGCCUCAACACACUCAAGAUUCUGUGUUUGAAUCUCACCCACCCAAUAUCGAUCGCUUUUAUUAAAAGUAAAAAAAAAAAGAGAGACUAUGUCGUGUAUAUAUCUCAAUCAUUCAUUAAGUUUGAAUCUCAAUAACAAUUGGUUGUUGUAAGAACGUCCAGCUAAUUGACUAUGAAGAUAGUUUUUUCUCUAAGGAAGGUUUAUUGGGGUGCAUAGAGUAAUUGGACUCCCUCGGCUUUAUGGGGCUCCUGCCAUUGUUGACAAUAGGGCUACUGUUACUAAAACUUGUGGUUUUUCCCUUUUUAUAAAAUUCUUAUUCAAAACUUUUAGAUAUAAAAAAAAUAUAUAAAAUAAAUACUAAACAGUAAAGUAAAAUAAAGAGCCAAGUAAACAAAUAAAUAAAACGAGUUAAGAUUAAGAAAGCAAGCCUGGUAUAGUGGAAGCACGUCAAAGACGCUGUCCUAAAGCCUUUGUAGCCUCCCUACGUGCAGGUAAUGACGGUCUACAAGACUCCAAGAUACGACCCCAAUACGUAGGCUUAAGAUCCGAUAUGAGCACGUUCACAGUCGGAUAGAAAACUCCAAGCCACAGAACCGUUGCCCAAAAAUAAUAUAGAAAGUAUGGAAUAUGUGAAAGUAUGAGAAUAGAGAAAUCUGAUUGUAGUAUAUGAAAUGUGAAGGAGGAGUGGCCUUUUAUAGGCAUCCAAAACUCGUAACCUCCAAACACAUUUAACCAUAAAAGUUGGUGGUGGCAAUGAAUAGAAAAUAAAAACUGAAAAUUAAACAAUUUGUAACUCCUAUAAUAAAUAAAAGAAACCAACCAAAAAUUAAAACAGAAAAUAAAACGUUUUAAAAUUUAAAAUCCUUUCAAAUAAUAACAGCUACUAAUUAUAUUGGCCGUGUUUGUGUUUAAAUAGCUUGAGAAAAUUUGAAGUUUCACGCCCACAAAGAGAAUUCUUACAAGAUUUGAUGACCUUAAACAUGGUGCAAGUUAAAAGAACAGUAGGGUUGGUGGUCCUUUGAUUUCUACCCCGCGGCUGUCGAUUUUUUUAUUUUUUUUAAUCUGUUGUUUCAUCCUUGGUUAUAUUAGCCACGGGCCUCGGCAGCUUCUUUCUUUUCUCUGCAAUUCCAUCUUAAUUUUUGUCGUGCAUGACAAAGUUGACCUUAAAUUGCUUGGCGUUUUCGAUAAAAAAACAGUUUAUUCGAUGCACGUUCUCAACACGCCUUUUUCCUUUGUCAAUAAGUAAGGUUGCCGGUCUAGUUCUUUCGAUUGAUGGAGCUCAUGGUAAGAAUUUAGAUGACUUCAUUUUCGUCAAUUCACAUCAGUUGCCUUUCCCAAUCUGUCUUGAUGAGAUUGGACAAAUAACUUUAAUGGACCAAUGCGCGCAAGCCAUAUGAUUUUAUCUUGGUAUGACAAGAAUAUUUAUAUGAUUUUUGGCACCGACCAUGUAUAGAAGAACAAAUUUGAUAAAAGCUUCCUUACCAAAAAUGGCUGUUAGAGAUUGCUUGUAAUAGGUGUUUUGAAUUAUUUAGUGUCGUCAAAUCAAGUCACAUAAUGCACAUGUGAGGUUGCCGGCCUAGUUCUUUUCCUUUGUCCUUUAAAAUUUUUCGUCAAAUCAAGUCACAUAAUGCACAUGUGAUUUUUAAGGGCAUUUAUAUCAAUCACUAUAUAUAUAUAUAGAAAAUUUAAAAACUAACAGAAUUUAAUUUUAAAUGAAAAAAAUAUGUAGGAAAACUAACCAAAUAAUUUCACAAACUUCCCCACCUCCUUCCAACACCAAUUCGCCCUCACCAAAAUAAAGUGAACAUUUUCUCUCUGAAAUUGAGUUAUUCUUUGUCGAUGGUUGAGGCCAAUCUUCAUCUUUCUUCUUCGUUUUGUUUUUUCUCAAAAUUUUGGUGUUAGUUGCUUCACUAGGCUUGGAUCUCAUACGUCCUGCCUCUUAAAAUUUCUUCACAACACAUCACAGGAAGAUGAAUUUAGAAACUGUAGAUCAUUGCGUCUUAAAAUUUGUUCACUACUCUACACAUCCCCUUCAAUAUGAUGGUAGAUUGACCUUGCGAAGGCCAUAUCUAAAGGAAAAGCAAACAGAGCCAUGCCACUAGAAUACAGAUUUUUGUUUUGUAAAUUUUUUAUUAAGUUAUUCGGUGUUGAUUUUUCAAUUUAAAAAAUGUGUUUGGAAAUCUUGUUGGCUCAAUCACUUUCCUUUCUUUGUUUCUACUCUUCUACAAUUUUUUUUUGGGAGCUUUAGUAAUAUACCCAAAAUAGAACCUGAAAUUAUAAAAAAACUCUAUAUAAAAUAUACUUUAGAAACACACCCAAAAAUUAUUUACUAUCUAAAAAAUGAGUGUUGAAGUUCCUAUAAAUUACAUCUCUGCCAUUGAUUAACUUAAAACAAGCCCAAUACAAAAAACUAAAAAAAAAAACCCAAAAUAAGCCCAGCAAGUCCAACUCAUAUUUGACCACCAAAAAAAAAAAGAAAAGCCCAGGAAACCCGAAGUACGUUAUUAAUACCAUAUCAUAGAAGUACAUUAUUAAUACCAUGUCAUAAAAAUACAUUGUUAAUAACAUGUCAUAGAAGUACAAUGUUAAUAUUAUUUCAUAGAAAAACAUUGUUAAUACCAUUUCAUGCAAAAAACUCAAGCAAGACAUCCGAUAUCCUUUGCAAAAACCACCUUCAAUUGUCCAUAGUUUCACCAGAAACAAUCGCAAAGGCCAAAGGAAAUAGCUCUACAAGGGAAAAAAAAAAAAGUACACUGUUAAUAUUAUGUCAUAGAACUUUCUUCCUAGUAAAAAUCACAUUAUGCAUAUCAUAAACUUCAAGUGCACAGCUAUAUAUAGAGCAAAAUAUAUAGCAUGCUUUGUUACUGAAAAUAUGUUAACACUAUGUCAUAGAAGUACACUGUUAAUACUAUGUCAUAUAAAUCAACUCAGUUGUAGGGUAUGAACAGUAUAACAAUUGUUCAUACCACUUACUGGAAGCUAACAACAUCAUUUCAUUCCUGCCACCAUCAGAAUCAGCAUAUUUGUGAGGAGAGAAAGAGCCGCCGGACAAGACUUCAGAGUAGGAUCCAGUAGCAUAUGAAGCUUGUUUCAGAUACAUCAUCAUUUUGGCGGGGGGUUCAGGAUAAGAAGCAAGUUUCUCAUCCCCUGCAUAGGAGGGGUUCAACAAGUUUUGGUUGCUUAAAUUUUGAAAUAUGUAGCCAUAGCUUGGUUGGUUGGUUCCUCUGUCUCCAAAGCCAAAGCCUUGAGUUAACCUGCGACAAAAUCCAAAUUACCAAUCUUGCUCAUAAACAAAUUAACAUUGUAGAUCAAUCACAGAUUGCUAACAUAGAAAAUAAGAAACUCAUAAAAAAGAAAGCCUAACCAAAAUUACCAAAAGCAAAACCAGCAAAAUGAAAAGGAAUCACAGCGUGAUCAAAAGAACAGAAGCCAAAUUUAACCCAAAUAUCAAAAUGUUCUUCUUCUUCUUUUCCGGAUCAUCAGAAGUAUGUAGUGAACAUGAUAACACAAGAAAUUAAUAUCAAGCCCUGAAAUUCCAUUCCAUUCCAUUCCAUCACAAAGAAGAAUAGUAACAUAAUUAAUUAAAAUAAAAUCAACAUGGGAUCUUUUGAAGUGUACCUGAAAGGUGUGGUUUGCGAAUGAAUUGUGAAGUAAAAAUAGAUGGAUAAAAGAGAAGAGAAAUUGAGGCAAAGUCCUCCACCUCCUCGUCCUCCCUCCCGAACUGGAGACAAACGCCGGAGUCGUCGGAAACGGCGUCGGAAAACUCGAAAUCUACAGACCUUUCCGAGCUCGCAGCGACAUCGUGAGUGGCUGAGGUGGUUGUGAUUUAGCCCAGACAUGAUCGGCGGCCCUGGCCGGUACUUUUCCGAUCAGUCUCACAGUUGGCCGUGGUUGGACCACCAAGAUCGCCGGCCAACCUGGUUUCCGCAAAGGGAGAGAGACGAAAGAGAGAGCCCCCAAAGUUUUGAAAAAAAACUAAUUUAAUACUAAAAGGGUAAUAAAAGUAUUUCAUUUAACUAAUUAAACUAAAAAAAUUNNNNNNNNNNNNNNNNNNNNNNNNNNNNNNNNNNNNNNNNNNNNNNNNNNNNNNNNNNNNNNNNNNNNNNNNNNNNNNNNNNNNNNNNNNNNNNNNNNNNGGGUGGUGUUGGCGGCUGCUGAGAACUAGUGUUAGAAGGGGAUGGAAAAGUCGUGGAAAAAUUAGGUUGGUUUUAUUUUUAUAUUGUUAUUUAUAGUGAAUUGAUGGAAAUGGCCUUAUUUGAAGCAUGUGACUUGAUUUAACGGAAAUUUUUAAAGGAGUAGGACGUAGGUGGUAAAUAUUUCAACACUUUAAAUAGUUCAAGUGGUUACUAGAAAAAAUUAAAAAUUCAUGUCAUAAUCCCGCACGUACCUAAAAGUUUGGAUAAUAUUUAUGUAAAUUCCCCUUUAAGGUAAAUAGAGAUAGCUUGUAAAAGCUUCCACUCGUAACAAAUAAGUCCGGACCCAAAUUGUUCUCAAAUGUUUUUACCUAAGUUUGUCUCUUAGCUUAGGGGAUAUAUAUAAACGACUUAAAAGAGUUAGUAUUGAAAAGAUAUUUUCAUGCUUUCUCGAUAAGUCUCAACAGUCGUGCCAAAAAUUAAUUAAGAGUUAGGCGAGAGAUGGAUUUCUUGUGUUGCAUGCAAAUGUGUCUUAUGGUUGCCUGGAUUUCUUGUGGGGGAGCUGGGAGGAGAAGGGGAUGGAGAGAAAGAGAGGGAGGUUUUUUUUUUUUUUUAAUAAGGAUUUUUUAAAUGUUAUUUUAUUAUAUUAUAUAAUUAAUUUAUCAUUUUUUUUAAAGAAACAGUGGAUCCUAUAGUGGACAUGUCAUCAGUUAAACCAAACGGUCAACUUAAAAGAAUGUCUAAAUUGGUCAAAUUUGAAAACCAUCGAAUAUAAAUUGAUGAAAUUGAAACUCGAGAGUCUAUAUUGAGAAUGACCCUAAAUUUUCAGGAAGUCUUUUGACGUUAAUCCUAAGGCCACCUCCACCGCAGCCCAUUUUGCCAGGGCAAGAGGCCCAUAUUCUGGGGUUUGGACCUCCAAUGCACGCGAAGCAGCCCGGGCAAGCCCAAGGGCAAAUCUUGCCUCGGCUGCAGCCCGAAGGCCCUGACGUCAGCGAGCAAAAAAAAUUCAAAAAAACUGAAAAUAAUUCGAAAAUAAUUCAAAUUUUUUUUUAAAAAAAAAAAAUCAAAAAAUUAUGGAUGUUUUCCCUAUAAAUACAUAACAAUUUUAUUCACUUUCCACACCAAAUCCUCAUACAAACUCUUCUCCUUCCAAUAUUUGUAAAUUGUAAUCAUUUUUUUUUCUUGCAUUUGUAAAUUGUUUAUAUUUUCUUCCAUAUUUAUUUUUUUCUUGCAUAAUCAUUUUAUUUCUUGCAUUUCUAAAUUGUUUAUAUUUUGUUGCAUAUUCUUUUUUUUUUUCUUGCCCUUGCCCUACCCUUUUGGGUUGGAACCAAAAAAGGCAAGGCUGCCACUAUUCACGUGAAUAGUAGCAGCCCUUCCCUUACUUUUACCUUAGCCUUAGCCCUUGCCUUACAUGUGCGCAAGAGUGAAUUUAGCCGAAGACAUGUCAUGUCUUCUGUUCAUAGAAAAACAACAAAGAAACUUUCUUUCCACAAAUGCAUGAAUGUACCGUCUCCCUACAUCACGCAUCUCAAUUUUCAAGAUUGAUUGAUAAUAAGAAUAACUAAGAGCAUUCGUAGUGGGGGGAGUGUAUUUUUGGGAGUGUAAAGCUACUUUUACAUCCCCUUUACACUUUCGGAGGGUGUAAAUAUGUUUUUUGCUCCAAUGGGAUACGAUGUAAACCUAAGAUGUAUAAUUUUUCCUCUAUUUUCUUGGGUGGGUCUCGCCUGCAAAAGAUGUAAAAAUAAAUGCAAAUGUGCAUUUUAUUUUACAUUUCCAUUGUGGUAAUGUAUGUUUACAACCUUUUACAUCUCUCUAUUGAAGAUGAUUCCAGUAACAAGGGAUGUAUAUUUAACAUACAACUCCUUAUACACCCUCCCAUUAUGGAUGCUCUAACAAGGCAUGAACUCCUACUGGGAAAAAAAAAUUCAAUGGGGGUCAAUCAUCAGUUAUUUUGAAUUGUAGCUACCCAUUCUUUGACUGACAUGCAUAUAUAUAUAUAUAUGUAUACUUUUCUUGGUGAGAAAAGUCCCUUGAGUUGACAGGAAAUUGUACUUUUUUUUCUUGUUGCAUUUUUCUUUUCUUGUUCAAGUAGUUUAGGACCAUCCUCUUUCAAAGCAGACAUGUGCAGUUGCAAAAGACCAUUAGCCCUCGUGCAUGUUUAUGGGAAAAAACAAAACCACUAGCCGACUUGGCUAUAAAUUAUUGUAUGUAUGUCAUUUACCUUCUUCUUAUUUUAUUUUAUUACUAUUUUACAUGUGAUGUGCAUCUGUGAAAAUGAUAGCUCCCAAACGCUAGACACUACGAGUGAUAAAUUAUUUUGAUUAUAGAAUUUAAAGUUAAAUGAUUUUAACUCUUUGGAAUUUUUUAGACCAAAACUCGAUUUAUUCGAAUUAUAAUAGUUCAAUUUAACAACUUUUGUGCAAUUAGAAUUAGAGAGAGAAUGGAUUUCUUGAGUUUUUGUAUGGUCCUGCUAAGCCUUUUCUCUGUGUUGUUGUUCUCAAUUAUUCAAGCUCUGCAAAGCAAAGCCAAUUCCAAAGGCAUCUUCUCCCACCUGAAUCAAAGCCAUUUCCCUUUAUUGGCAAUCUUCUAGAGUUUGGCAACAAACCCCAUCUCUCUCUCACGAAGCUUUCUCAAAUCUAUGGCCCCAUUAUAACUCUGUAACUCUGCCAAUAUUUAUAUUGGGGAUUCCCCAUUCCCACAUUCAAUAGGGAAUGGGUUCCCCGUCUUGCCUCAUUACGUACGGAAGAAAAAUCAAUAUAAAAUUACUUUUAAAAAAAAAAAAGGACUAGAGCAAGAUAAUGCGUACAUAUAAUAUAUUAUCUACAUACAAGACAAUAUAAGAAUGUUUACAUAUUGACUGAGAAGUUAACUAAAUAUAUAAGUAGUGUAGCUUAAGAUUUGUAUAAAUUUUAUAAAUAUAUAAUAUAAAACUUAAUCGGCACAAUCACUUUAAUAGCAUAUUUAUAUAGCCCCGAUCUCUUGGACCACAGAGGCUCCAGUGGUUUCUUUCUUUUCUCUGCAAUUCCGUCUUAAUUUUUGUCGUGUGUGAUAAAAUUGACCUUAAAUUGCUUGGUGCUUUCGACCAAAAAAAAAAAAAAAGGUUUAUUCGAUGCACGUUACGUUCUCAACACGUCUUUGUCCCUUGUCCAUAAGUAAUGGGCAAGUUGCAGGCCUCUAGUUCUUUCGAUUGAUGGAGCCUAAUUUUGUACCGACUUGCACAUAAUAAGAAUUUAGAUGGCUUCAUUUUCUUCAAAUCACCCCAGUUGCCUUUCCCAAUAUGUCUUGAUGAGAUUGGACAAAUAACUUUAAUGGACCAAUAUGCGCAACCCAUAUAAAAAACCAUAUCUAUUAUAGGGUGGACUCCUAUCCUAGUGUAUGAUUUUUGUUUUGUAAAAUCACCCCAGUUGCCCUUCAAUAUGAUGGUAGAUUGACCUUGCGAAGGCUAAUAUCUAAAGGAAAAGCAAACAGAGCCAUGCCACUAGAACACAAACUUUUGUUUUGUAAUUUUUUUUAUUAAGUUAUUCGGGGUUGAUUUUUCAAGUACUUACCAUGAAAAAAAAAAUGAAAAAGUAUGAUUUUUUUUUUGUUCAAAAAAAAAAAAACACUUUUGAAUGAAGCCAAUUUGGCCGUCUAAAAAGACUUUGUUUUAGCGGCCAGCUAGCAACUUUCUUUUUGUCCAAACAAGACGCAUAACUAAGUCCAAAUGAUAAGCCUUGUCGGAUUGGGAGGCUCUCCCUCCCUCCUUCAACUUUUAUGUGUGUGUGCGCACGAUUAGAACCACAGAGAGAAUGGAUUUCUGGAGUUUUUGUAUGGUCCUGCUAAGCCUUUUCUCUGUGUUGUUCUCAAUUAUUCAAGCUCUGCGAAGCAAAGCCAAUCCCAAAAGGCAUCUUCUCCCACCUGGACCAAAGCCAUUUCCCUUCAUCGGCAAUCUUUUAGAGCUUGGCAACAAACCCCAUCAAUCUCUCACCAAGCUUUCUCAAAUCUAUGGCCCCAUUAUAACUCUGCAACUAGGCCAAGUAACAACGGUGGUUGUUUCUUCACCAAACACAGCCAAACAAGUCCUCCAAACCCAUGACCAAUUCUUGUCCAACCGAACCGUCCCAGAUGCAAUCCAAGCCUGUGACCUUCGUCAGGACAGCCUGCCAUGGAUACCACCUUCGGCCAAAUGGAGAAGCCUUCGACAAAUAUGCAACUCUCAAUUGUUUGCCGCCAAAAUCCUCGACGCCAACCAACCCAACCGCUGCGUAAAAGUGCAAGAGCUCAUAUCUCAGGUCAACGAAAGUGCGGUCAAUGGUGAGGCGGUAGAUAUUGGAAGGGCCGCUUUCAAAACUACUCUCAAUCUGCUGUCUCGUACUAUUUUCUCAGUGGAUUUAGCUGACCCAAGUAGCGAGAUGGCUAGGGAGUUCAAGGAGACUGUGUGGGGUUUGAUGGAAGGGGCAGGGACCCCAAAUGUGGGGGACUUUUUUCCUGUCCUUCGGAAAAUUGACCCCCAGGGCAUUAGGCGGCGCAUGAUCAAACAUUUCAACAAGAUGGAACAGCUCUUUGACCGCAUGAUUAGCCAAAGAUUGGCAUCAAGAAAAGCCCAUGAUUAUGUCAAAACCAAUGAUAUGUUGGAUACUCUUUUGAACAUCAGUGAAGCGAACAGUGAGGACAUGGACAAGACCAAAAUUCAACAUCUGUUUCUGGUUAGUUGUUUUGUCUUUGCUCAUCAUUAUAGUUAAAUUACUGUAUCAAUUAAUUUAAUUUACAGAGAGAAGGGAUUUGAACUUAAGUUUAAAGAGUGGGCGAACUGGCCUGACCGUCUACUCUCGUUAGGUGUUUUUGUUUUUGGUUUUUAAUCCCAAUUUUUUUUUCUGACUUGUUAUGUUAAAAAGGCUCUAUUUGCCGCGGGCACAGAUACAACUUCAGCCACAUUGGAAUGGGCCAUGGCUGAGCUGCUACGCGACCCUGAAAAGCUAUCAAAAGCUCAACAAGAGCUGGAACAAAUCAUUGGCAAAGGAAAACCAGUAGAAGAAGCAGACAUUGCUCGACUUCCUAACUUACAAGCAAUAAUCAAAGAGACCCUUCGGUUGCACCCAGCAGCUCCAUUGCUUCUCCCUCGCAAAGCCGAUUCAGAUGUUGAAAUCUGCGGGUAUAUUGUACCCAAGGGUGCACAAGUGUUUGUAAAUGCAUGGGCUAUCGGUAGAGACCCCAGCAUUUGGGACAACCCAAGCUCGUUUAUGCCGGAGAGGUUCUUGGGAUUGGAUGACCAAAUUGAUGUUAUAGGCAAAAACUUUGAGCUUAUCCCAUUUGGUGGUGGGAGGAGAAUAUGUCCUGGCUUGCGAUUGGCAAUGCGAAUUCUGCCCUUGAUGUUGGGUUCACUCAUUAACUUUUUUGAUUGGAAGCUUGAAGAUGGGGUUAUACCAGAGACUUUGAACAUGGAAGAGAAAUUUGGCCUCACCUUGCAGAUGGCUCACCCUCUUAGAGCUCUGCCCAAGUCAUUUUGUGAAAUUUAAUGGAGUCUAUAUAUGUCACUUAUCUAAGUUAGUAUUGAAACUUGUUAACAAUCAUGGUUGUAAGUUAUUGUUUCCAUAACAAUACUUCAUAAUGGCUUUUGGGUCUAAUGAUAUUUAGUUUCCACUCCUUUUUAUUAAGCUCUUAUAUCAGAAAGAAUGAAUCUUUUCUCUUAUCUUUUUUAUGCUCUCUUUUCUUCUUCUUCUUCUUAUGAUUCAAUGAAUCUUAAUAUGUGUAAACUUCAAAUCUCAUGCACAUGCGUUUGUUGUAUUAUUAGAUACUAAUAAUUCGCACACAUACUAUGCAUGAGUAGAGAAUAAAUAUCCCUCAUUACAUUAACUUCUUUUUGGUUAGUGCAAUUUAAAUAAGAGGAUAAUUAGCACUUUUGACAAAGUGGUUGACAAGAAACCUUAAGGCCAUUGAAUUGAAGACCUCGAGCCUUAGUCCUCAAGACAAUAAGACCUACACACUCAUAUAAUAUGCCAACGUCCAAUACCUUCAUCUAUGGGGCAUAGCCUUGGCUAAGUUGGCCAAAUCCAGGUCCUUCGUAUUCUAUACUCCCUUUUUUUGGUUGGCCAAAUUUAGGUUGGGAAAAUGUUUUUUCACACUCACUGUUAAGGUACAUUAGUGUUCGAACAUGAGACCACUGUCCUACAGAUCAUUGCCCUUUUCCAGUUGGCUAGACAUCAUUGAUCACUGUCUGAGGAGCAUUGCUACUACAGCAAAGGUGGUGUAGGUUGAUAGUACUGAUGUUAUUGAAGGCGUGCUUGUUAGAGAAAACAUCUUCAAAUAUAAAGAAUUGUAAUGAAAAGGAGGUUUUGUUUUUGUUUUUUUGUUGUUGUUGAUUAUUGGCUUGUUGAGUUAAGUUGGAAAUUCAGGUGAAGGGAUUUUAUAGAACAAAAAAUGGGAUAUCUAGCUUCCACUUGAAGCUCUUUGAACUCAAGUUGAUGCUUAAAAUAUUAGCAAGCUUUCCCCAAACUUUUCAAAUUUGGUCAAUGUUUAGAUGAGUGAAACAAGCUUCUCAAGCCAUUUUCAAAAGGAAAUUACAUCUUUUAUUUAUGGCAAAAAGUUACUUUUGGUCUUUGUGGCUUAUCUCUUUUACUACUAAGGCCCCCUAUAGUUUCAAUUUGAUCAUUUUUGCGUACGUGGUUUCACUUUGAAGCAAUUUAAGGAUAAUCAUCAAUUUCUGUCAAAUUUUUUUUUUAUAACUUCAGCUCAUUGUGCAUGGGCAAUUUGGUCCAUAAAUUAUCAAAAAAUCAAUUCCUUUUAAAGUUUAAAAAAAAAUUUAAAAAAUUUUCAAUUCCUUUCAAAAAUAAACAAUACAAUUUUCAAAAUAACAAAAAGAUUAGGGGCCGGUAAUGUUUUCAAGGCCCUGUUUUCAUUUUCUACCAAAAAUUCGUUUGGUAUGUCGUUUUCAUUUUUUAUUGGAAUUCAUUUUCUGAAAAUAAAUUAAAACUCAUGUACAAAAACUGAAAACACCAAAUUAUCGUUUUCAUUUUCUAUCUAGUGUAUUGGUUGAUUGCCUUUUUUUCUUUUUCUUUUUGUUGGUCUGAAUUUUUUUUCUUUUUCAUUUGUCAGUUAUUUUUUCAAUUUUUAUUUUUUUUCGCUGCACUUCAUUAUUUUAUUUUGUUGCACGAGUGUAUAUUAAUUUUAUGAUAAAACCAUCAUAUAUUAUUCAAUUUCAUAUUUAUUUUAAACUAAAGAUAAUAGAAUUUUAUUAUCUAGGUUUUUCUAACAUUAGAAUUUUUAUUCUCAAAUGAUACAUUUUUCAUUGUUUAUAAUAAUUUUAGCCUUAAAAAAUAUAUGAGAUUUUUUUUUAAAAAAAAAUUUUAGGACAUAAAUUAGCAAAAAAUAUACUUGAAAAAUAACUCACAUAUUAUUAUUCUCAAAUUCUCCCCACCAGACACUUUUUCACUGUUUUUAUUUUCUGAAUAUGUUUUCCAAUUAAUAUACCAGAUGCAUUCUUGAAUCCUAAAAAUGCAAUUCGUUUGCUCAUUUUCAUUCUUAGAAAAUAUUCUCAAGAAACAUUCUCCAAAAACGUUACCAAAUGGGCCCUUACAAUUCGAAAACCCCAUAUCUUCAUGAUUUUUGGAUACAAUUUCAAAACUGUAAUUAGUAAUCUCCCCAAUAUAUCACAAGUCGAAGCAAUGAGAGAGACAGAGAUGGAGAGAGGGUGGAUUUGGGUAGUGGCUGUGGUGGAUCUGGGCUAGGUGGAGGAGAGAGAAAGAGGUUGGGAGAGGAGAAGGGGAGUGGGAGGCUAUUUCAAAACUAAUUAUUUUAUUUUAUUUUUUAUUUGUAAAAGGAAAGGAUUUUUUGAUAAUUUGUGGACCGAAUUGCCCCUACACAACUAACAAAAAUUUGAAAGAAAUUGAGGAUAGUCCUUGAAUUGCCUCAAAUUGAAACCACAUGAAUAAAAAUGAUUAAAUUCAAACCAUAUGGACAAAAAUGAUCAAAUUGAAACCGCAUGGACUUUAAUGGUAGAAGUGAUAAACCAUAAAAACUAAAAGUUGUUGUAAAGUAGAAUGGGUGAAGCCCACAUAGUCAAAAGGUGAACAGUGAUAAUUGGGUAGAAACAUCAUUAUGUCUUCUCUUUUAUUCACGGGUGCCAUUUAACAUGCCUAUAAAUAGGCAACGCUCUUGCCUGCAAAGAUAGAGAGAACUAACAUUCAAUGAAGAGAUCAGUUUCUAUACUUUCUCUAUAUCUCAAUUCUCUCCAUAAUCUCUUUAGUUUAUAACACGUUAUCAGCACGAUUUCUCUAUCUCUCUGUCUCUCUCUCCCAGCCAUAGCCAGAACCACAGAGUAAAAGCUAGCGGAAGAGCAAACAUCAUUUUACAUCUGUGGGUGGGAGUUUAGGUUAGCUAGCUUGUGAAAUAAUCAUGGCAGCUCCCAUUUCUAGCUCCUCCUUCCUCAUGAGGUACAUCAUUUGUUGCUCUGGUUUUCUAUGCCUGAUUCUGUGCUCUUCGGAGAAGGGCUUUGCCUUGGAAGAAAGAGAACAUGCUCACACAGUUGAAGUCAAUUCUCUGCUUUCUGCAACCACCUGCAGCUCCUCCUCCUCCUCCUAGCCACUGAUUUCUGGCGUGUGAAAAAAAAAGAUGAGAGAAGCCAUGGCUCUUCAGAGGAGAAAAAGUUGGAGCUCAGGCUUGGGCCUCCAGGUGAAGACUGGUCUUUGAAUGGUAACUCCAGAAGCAACAAAGAAAGAGAUGAGUCUCUUCUCUCUCUUGGGUACCUUUCCCCUAUGUCUUCCAACAACAACAACAACAACAACAACAACGUAAACCACCACCGAACCCAGAAAUUUAUCUCUCCCUCAGACAAGUCUGUUUUGUCCUCAUCUCCAUGGUCUUACCAGCUGGGAAAUAUUCAUCAACAUCAGACAAAAGUUCCAUCUUUUCUUCACUUCACAUCAAGUUCUCAGGGCCUGCCUGUUACCCCCAACAAAGCAUCACAGCCCUGUUGCACUGAAGUGGUAGAUUUGCUGAAUGCAGAAAAGAAAGAGAGGCUUUUUCUCGACCAAGGACUACCAAAAGUUGAAGGCCUCUAGUCCCGUAGUCAUGGCCACAGAAGAAAUAGUAUUGAAAAAAAAAAAAGAAAAAAAAAAGAAGGUCCUCUGCUUCCUUAUCUUUCAAUUACUUUAGUAUUAUCCUAUACUAUUUAACUUGCUCUGCAGGUGGAAAGGCAGUAGCAAGCUUGAUAUCCAUCAUUUUUUUUAGCUACAAUUAACAAAAACAUGAUAAAGAAUAGCACCCACCGAAAUGAUGAGCUUCCCACCAUCUUUUCAUUUAUUAUUAUCCUAUAUUAUUUAAUAUUAAUAUUAAUGGUAAUAUAAUAUAUUAUAUUUAUUGUAUGGUGUAGGUUUAUUACCCAUACAACAGUAUCUAUUUAAAAGGGUGGCGCAGGUUUAUCGCCCAUGCCUUUACUUUUAUUUAAAUGUAUGGAGCAGAAUUAGUGCCCAUACAAGCACGUUUACUUUAUCGCAAAUUUACUUUUACUUAAAGUAUGAUGUGGAAUUGACCCUCAUACUUUAUGAAAUUACUUUACUGUACAUUAUUUACUGUAUGGUGUAGGUUUAUUACCCAUACAACAGUAUUUAUUUAAAAGGGUGGCGCGGGUUUAUCGCCCAUGCCUUUACUUUUAUUUAAAAGUAUGGAGCAGAAUUAGUGCCCAUACAAGCACGUUUACUUUAUGAAUUUAAUUUACCGCACAUUUAAUUUUAUUUAAGGUAUGGUGCGGGAUUAACGUCCAUACAGCAAGCAAUUUAAUUUAUCAAUUUACUUUAUCGCACAUUUACAUUUAUUUAAAGUAUGGUGCGGGUUUAUUGUCCAUACCAGUAAUUUAUUUACCAGCAAUUUAUUUUUAAUUGUGCUGUAUGAUGAGUUUUUACAGUAUGCAGAUCAGGACCAGAAGUUCCUUGAUCCUCAUCAUACAAUUACAUCAGGACUUGAAGAUCCUUGAUGAUGAUGAUGUUAAUAUGAGAGCUAGCAGUCUCUCCGGUACUAUAUUUGUAAAUAUGUGAUUGGACUUGAGGGUCCUUGAUCCCUGACAUGUAAAUAAAGACCUGGGGUUCCUUAAUGAUGUGACAGUACCGUAUUGUUUCAUAAUGCCGUACACAUGGAUGAUAACUGUACUGGCAAAUGUACUGUACACAUGAAUAGUGCCGUAUACAUGAAUAGUGAUGUAUGCAUAAAUAUUUACCAUUUUGGGUAAACUAUCACUAUUCAAAAGGGAACCUGCAGUUCCUUAAACUCAUGGAUGAGCAAUUAAAUGAGAUGCCAGAAGUUCCUCAAGAUAUGGACAAUUAUGUAAGGGCUUGAAGUCCAGAAAUAUGUACAGAAAAUUGUAAAAAUGUCCAUACCAUGAGAAUAUGUGAUUUUGGCUUGAGGUUCAAAAUCUAACAGUGUUGAGAACCUGAAGUUCCAACAAUUAAAUGGACAACUCUUGAGGUAUUAUUGCAAAUUGUGGUACGCCACAUAUUUCUUUGGCAUAAGAAAAUGAUGAAUUUAAUAAAGUUCGAUUCUGUUAUAAUCGACACCUCAAGUAAGAAAUAUAUUUUGUGAAUUCCGGUUGUUAAAAAUACACCGUGAAAUGGAUAACCCUCCCCACAUAUUUUGUUAUAUCUGCGCCGGAAGCCCAUGUAUCCAACUAUAUGAGAGGUCCUGAACUUGAAGUUGUGGGUAUAUAGUGGCUUUUACUCAAUUCAUAUUUCAUGUCCAUUUGAAAAGGGCAAAUAAAUUCUGAGUUUGUGUUUAGCCCAAGCCAAAAGUUCCGGGCUCCCAUACGUUGAAAUAUGAAAUUUGGGAGAGUCGAUGAGGUUAUUUGAAUCUAUAAGGCACAAGGUUCCAAACCGUCAUUUUGAAAAGACGUAAAAACCACAGGUGCAAGUUUAAGAAUGUGCGCAAUUAUUAUAACAGGAACAUACAACAGAUAGAUUUUUUUUUCCACCUGCAAUAAAGGUGCAGGCCCUGUAAAAUCUAUAAAAAAUACAUUAUGUUCUGGAAGCCUCUGAAGGAAGAGGACGACGCCUCUUAAGCUUAGCCAUGAGCCUCUCGUGGUCUCCCAAAAUUCUUUCAUUGGAGACCUGCAGCAUGUCUAGCCUUCUCAGUGUAUCAACAGAGUACGAACUCACCAGUUUCAACAAGGCAUUAUUCUCUCCUUUAAGUUUCUCAACCUCCUGUUGAGACUCAUGAAGCAUUCUUUGGAGAGACGAAUUUUCAGUUGUUAACCUCUCAACCUCGUUUGCUCUAGCACGCAAACGAUCAGCCAUGUUAGAAACAGAAGCAGCACUCUGAAUGCUAAAAGCCAUUGAGUCAUCAAUAGCCUCUUCCUCAGAUCUCCCUGUCAACAACAUUUCAUCCAUUGGAAUAAUGAAAUUCCUAGCUACUAUGACAGCAGUAGCAUCAUUCAUCAUCACAGAAUCAUUAACUGUGAGAUGACGAUUUUGGGAUACAAAGGAUGGACGCCAAACUUUGGCAUCAUUGGUAGUUGUGGGAGCAUCAUUUAAAUUGAAAUAAUUUGGGCAGGAAGAAGAGGAAGCCAUUUUAAGAAGGUUUAGAAGAAAGUCUUAGAAAAACUAAAGUUUCAGAAAAUGAAGGAAGUUGAGUUGAAACGCAGUUGCUCCAAUCAAGUUUUGCAAAGGCAAUAUCUAUAGGAGGAAAUAUGGCUACAGUUUCCAGGAUCCCAAUAUUAUCUCAGAUCCCCAUAUUCUCUUUUUCUUUUCCAGAUUCCAAAACUUCAUGCGGCCUCCAUUAAUAUUUGUCGGCACUUUCGGCGUUUUCAAGUAUUAUUUUCGUCAAAACCGAUCUUGCUUUACGGAUUUCACGGAGCUACUUUUUCAAAAGUAUCCCGAGAAUCUCGCAAUUUUCCUAUGGUUAAUUUGGAAUUCACAGGUUCUACCUAUUCAUUGUAUUUGUGUAUAAAUGUGUUACUAACGAAAUUUUCUUUGCAGAAGACAUCCAGUUUUCUCCAUACCUAGUGAUGCGAUAUCUACUUAUUUUUCUUAUCAGUGAGCACUCAAUAUGCCCGAGAAGCAAGACUAUCUCUGAUCAUCCAUUCAGGAAGCGAGACUAUCCCUGAUCACGUUUCCGCCACAUCAGGGAACUGUGAAGGCGACCUUAUGCUCUAAUCUCCGGAAGUUCUUCUAGACUAGGAGAAAUGAGAGCUUGUUGUUUGCUCCCACCAGCUUCCUUCCUUGAUGGCUGAGCUUGUUGUCUGCUCCCACCAGCUUCCUUCCCUGAUUGCUUAUCUUACCUUGCAAUCAAUAUCACAUUUUUUUUGCAUUUUUUCUCUUUUUGUAACUCUCUGUUCAUAAGAGACUUUAUUUCUUUAGAAUGAACAUCUGAAGAAAGAGUCCAUGAAGUGAUCCUAACUCUGAGGGUUAUUUGUUUUGACAGAGGCAAAAGAGUUGUGAUUUUUGCUCUUGCAGGAUAUAACUAGAUCAUCAAGCGCUACAUUAUAUUUACUGGGCCGAUACGAGCUUGAAUGAUACUUGAGAAAAGUUUCUCCCACCUAAGGAUGUAAGCAAUACUUGUGUUGUUUUAUGCUUAUAUACUUACUUGAUAUUUUAUCUUGAAAGGUAACCAAAUGGGGAGAUAAGUCCGUUCCAAAAGAAUGGCUUGUAUGUAUCCAUGAAUUAUUAACGCAAAUUUUACAGAUUGCAAGUUGGAUACAUUGAUAAUACACUGCACAGAUUAAAGUCCCAUAAGAACAGAAUAUGGGUAUAGCAGUGAUCAAUAUGAUGCACGCCUGUUACGUAGCAAAUGAUGGGGAUUGAAGUCCCGAAAGGACAAUCCUUUGACAUGUCAAUAUUGAUAUUGUGCACGCCUAAUACGUAGCACAUUAUAUGGGUUAAAGUCCCAUAAAUUAAUUGACAUGUAUGCAUUAAUCUGUGGCAUGCCUGCAGCAUAACAGAUGUAUGGGUUCUGAAUGUUCCAACUCCCAAAAAUGGAGAUUUUCCACGCCCUAUGUAAAAUAACGCUCCAUUGGAGGUUAUAAUCCACAUUCUCACAUAAUAACAGCCCCCUAGAGUGGCUUGGGUACCCAAAAGCAAAGAAAUGCUUAUAAUUGAUGCAUGCGCAUGCAAAUGAGAAUGAUGGGAUCAUGAAUUGAUGAAUGACAAUUUUUGGUUUUAGAGUAGCUACUCAAAUCAUCAAUGGGCUGUGUUAAUUGGAACCACGUUCAAUUAUUAAAUGUCGACAAUAUCAUUGGCCAAAAUGGAAUGAGGUAAUUCCAUUAUAGAUGAGAAUGAACGUGAAAGAACAAACCCACUGUACGAACCCCAAAAGAUGUUAAUACUGAAAUUUAUACUUGGGUGUUCGGAAUAAAAGGGAAUAUACCUACUUUGUAUGACACAAUGUUUCUGGCAGAAACAAGGAAUGUUAGGUUUUCUCCAUAUUUACAGAUUCAAUUGUGCCUCCUUAUUGCACAUUUACGGAGACCAACAUGUUAUCUUUAAGGGUUAUUAAAUGCACGGAGCAUAUCACCAGUAGUGAUUCCUUAAAGAUGUAUAAAUAGCUGGUUUAAAGCUAUAUAAUGUGUCAUAAAGUUUAAUCCCUUUAAACAAAAUCCUUGAAAGGAUUGAACUUGCAUGAAGCAAGUCCCUGAAGGACAUGUGCCUGAAGCACAAAAUCUGUACUCAAUACUAAUGUGCAUAAAUUGCCUCAGUGAGUACAUUGAUUAUAAUGUGUUUGCAACACAUUAAAGCUUCUGAAGAGUUCAAGAAAUAUUUGUCUCGACUUAAAGAUCGAGCAUUAUGCCAACGAGAUUCUUGCUUAUACUAAGAAAGUAUUGAAGCAUUUUUAUGAGGAUUAUCCGUUGGACACUUUAAGGAUUUUCCGGAAGUAUAUUGGACCGUACAUUGUAUUUUCCAGAUAGAGCUCAACUCCAUAUAUUUGGGAUGAUGUAAGGCAUAUUUGAUGCUAUCUCAGCAUAACACCAUAUACAGGCAUAUUUUUGAGUAAACUUAUAAAUAGCCCAAGUGUUAUUAGAUAUGCGGACUCUGGAAAUCUCUAUGGUCACUUACUGGAAAAAGCUAGUCAUGAAGUUUUCAGGGGGAGAUAUUCAUCAGGGGGGAGCGUGCUGUCAAUAAAGACCUUUUCACACUGUACUCUUUUUCCUUCGUCCAGGUUUUUAUCCCACUGGGUUUUUCCUAGCAAGGUUUUAACGAGGCAGUGUCGCACGCAUGUCAAUAUACACAGAAUUUUAUGUUACACAUGGUUAUGUACUUUUUUUUCCCUUCGACCAGUUUUUGUCCCACUGGGUUUUUACUGGCAAGGUUUUUCUAUACUCAUAUCAAGGGUGACAGGACUAAGCACAUAUCACCAAAGUUUUUCUAUACACACGAGCUCCAGAAGAGUCAAGAAAUUAAAGUCAGACAAAUCCGCUCAAGCGAUAACCUGGCAGAUCUCUUCACUAAAUCAUUGCCGAAAUGUACAUUCCAAAAGUUAGUGCAUGGCAUCGGCUUACGACAACUCUGCAAGAAAUCAAGUUGGAGCAUGCAAAAUCAGGGGGAGCAUUCAAGAGUCCUCUAACACAGGACAUAUGCGCGUUGUACUCUUUUUCCUUCGACUAGGGUUUUUCCCCACCGGGUUUUUCCUAGCAAGGUUUUAACGAGGCAACAUGAGCGUAUUACCUUUAUGUCCCAAAUAAAGUUGUACUCUUUUUCCUUCGCUUAGGUUUUUUCCCACUGGGUUUUUCCAAGCAAGGUUUUAAUGAGGCAACCAAUCUAGGAACAUGUGGUCUCCAAGGGGGAGUGUUGUAAAGUAGAAUGGGUGAAGCCCACAUAGUCAAAAGGUGAACAGUGAUAAUUGGGUAGAAACAUCAUUAUGUCUUCUCUUUUAUUCACGGGUGCCAUUUAACAUGCCUAUAAAUAGGCAACCCUCUUGCCUGCAAAGAUAGAGAGAACUAACAUUCAAUGAAGAGAUCAGUUUCUAUACUUUCUCUAUAUCUCAAUUCUCUCCAUAAUCUCUUUAGUUUAUAACAAAAGUGACUUUUUGCCUUUAUUUCUCUAUGGGAACAGCCCAAUUAUGAAUAGGCUUGUUUUUUAAAAGAAUGAAGCUUAAGAAUUCCAACUAAGUUAACUUGUUUUCGGUUCUGAAGAACAAACCCCCAAAAUGAAACAAACCCUUAGCUGUUUGCUAACCUAGCAACUGAAGCUGUUUGCUGACACUAGAAACAAACCCUCAGCACAUGUGUUUGUUGUAUUAUUAGAUACUAAUAAUCCGGCACACAUACUAUUCAUGAGUAGAGAAUAAAUAUCCCUCAUUACUUUAACUUUUUAGUUGUGGGUCAAAUCCAGAUCCUCCGUUUUCUUCUCUACUAUAUACAUAUUUUUUUGUGUGUCCAAAAUUAGGAAGGGGAAAAUAUUUGCUCACACACACUACAUACCAAGGUGACACGGGGAUAUAACCUGAGACCACUGUUCUACACAUCAUUACCCUUUUCACCGAACUAGACUUCAUUGAUCAUUGUCCUGUGGAGCAACUUCAACUGGUAGUGCAAGGGCAAUUUGGUCCAUAAAUAAUAAUAAAAAAACCAGUUUUUUUAUUUAUAAAAAGUUUAACUUUCAAAAUACAAAUAUAAAUUUUUUUUUAAUCCUUUUAAAAUUAAACAAUACAAUAUAUAUAUAUAUAUAAUCAUUCCUUUCUCAUUCCUGUCUUUCACACAGUCCUAGAUUCUUCUCCAAGUCGGAAUCUAGGCAAGCACUUCUUCGUUAACCAUCACCACCGCUGCCAGGUAUUCGUGCUACCGCAACCAUCAUAGUCACUUCGUCAGCAGCGGUCUUACCUUUUGAAGGCCCUAGGGCUCAUUUAGUUCAUGAAUUGAACUUCUUGGGAAUAAACUUCCCAUUUCUAAUCCCACAAGAUGGGAAUGGAGCAGUGACGGAUCCACAUAGGGGCAAUGGCGUCAACUAACCCCUUCAAGCCUGGAAUCCACCAUAGGAGGCCAAUAACUUGACCCCUGCAAAUUGUCCAAAAGGUGUUUGAUGAAAUGCCCCCAAAGAAGGAGCAGCCACAGCCAGCAAGAAGCUUGUUGUGCGUGCGCUUCAAUUUUUUAUUUUUUUUCGUGACUUCAAAAUGACGUUGUGCCACUUAAGUGGUUUUAAAAUUUUUUUAUUUUAUUAAACCUGGUCAAAAUGACGUCGUUUUGGCUAGGUUAAAAAAAAAAAUCCAGUAGUAGUUGUUGCCCGAUAAAACAGAUUGGGGGAAACCCUAAAUCCCUAACUCCAAGCCCUAAUUCUACCCAACCUUCGCCCAAUUCGACGGCCUCCCCACAUGGAUCACCCUCCGGCGCCGCCGAUUUCCUCAUCCAAUGACGGCACCAAACCCCAAAUUCAAUUUGGUUUGAAAUUUGCUCUCAAAAUUGAAAGUAUGUUAUCAUAUUUCCUAAUCUUUUUAUGCUUUGAUGAGAUUGAUUAAUAUGUCAAUUAGUUUGAAUGAAUUAGAGUUUUUAAUUAAUUAAAAUAUGUUAGUUUGUAUGUUUUAAUUUGAUGGAUUUCAUCCCUCCAAUUGAAAGUAUAUUAUCCUAAUUUCUAAUCUUUUUUUUUAUGCUUUAAUUGAUUAAUAAAUAUUUUUGUAUGUUUUUAUUUUUCUUGAUUAGUUGUUGUUGUCGAUUGUAUUUAUUAGGAGUUUUUGAUUAUAUUGUAUUUGGUUUUUUUUGGGGUCAAAAUUAUAUCAUAUUUGUUUGUUUGUAUAAAUUGGAUUAAUUUUUGUGUUUAUUAAUUAAUGAAGAUUCUUAUAUAUUUUGGUUAGUUAGAAUAAAUCUUGGCAAUUUGGAUUACUAAUUUGUUUGUUUGUUUUUUGAAUAGAAAGUUAUGGAACGAUACUUUAAGAGAAAGUUCUCAUCAACUACUUCUAGUUCAGAUAAUAUGGGUAGUUCAAACUCAAGAGAUGUGGGUAGUUCGAAAGAAAGUGAGUUGCAAAAUCUUAUGAAUAAUCUUCCUACAGACCCUGGACUUCGACGUCAAAUGUUGGAUUAUGAUCCUAACAUUCGAGAUGAAGUUCGAAGAGCAUUUACAAAAAGGUCCCUGUCUCCCUAAGAAUCACACAUUUCCACAAAUCGAUCUUUCAGGGUAUGAUCGACGCUUUAAUGUCAAGUGGUUUGAUGAGUUUGACUGGUUAGAGUAUAGUAUAAGUAAAGAUAUUGCAUUUUGCUUUUGUUGUUAUCUCUUCAAAUUCAAUUUCAAAAUUGGUCAAGGGUGUAGUGAUGCCUUCACAAAGAUGGGUUUCAUAAAUUGGAAGAAGAAAGAAAGAAUUAAGAAUCAUAUUGGAGGUGUUGGAAGUGUUCAUAAUCAAUAUAAACAAUAUUAUGUAGAUCUAAUGAAUUAGAAGCAAUACAUCCAAACAGUUUUAGGCAAGUAAUCAGACCAAACUCGUAUUGAUGAUCAUAUUUGUUUGAUAGCUUCUCUUGAUUGCGUGAAAUUUUUGUUGAAGCAAGGUCUUCAUUUUUAUGGCCAUGAUGAGAGUGACACUUCAAACAACAGAGAUAAUUAUUUGGAGCUCUUACAAUUUCUUGCUGAUCAUGAUGAGAAAGUUAAGGCUAUUGUGUUAGAAAAUGCUCCAAGGAAUCUCAAGCUAAUAGCUUUAACAAUUCAAAAAGAUCUUGUGAAUGCUUGUGCCACUGAAACUAUUAAGAAGAGUUGGUAUUCUUAUUGAUUGGAUCUUUCUAGGGUGGAGGAACCGGCAGUACAACACCUCACUAAACUCAAAACGAAACAAAAAUAAGCCAAAUUCAAACCAAGACCAAGUAAAAGCCAAACCCAAAUCAGCGAGGAUAUCCCUAUAAAAAGAAAUAGAAAAUCAAUGUAGACAAGAAGGGAAAUGACGUAUGGCAUUUACAGAGUCACAAAUAGCAAUUGAUGAAAGCAUCGGAUGAAAGCACAGGGAAGAGAAGGAGUUGUGGUGCAAAAAAGACAUAGAGGUUAGUGGAUUGGAGGUGUAAGCGCGGAAAUUUUGACUAUGACAAAAAGACUGAAAAGCUUUGAUAUUUACCACGAUGUGAAAACCCUCUCAGUCAUCUAAUUAAACAUUAAAUUACUUGAUGCUUUCGACCAAAAAAGGGAAAAUACAUUACUUUAUGCAUUUUUCCUUGUCUUUUUCCAUGGUCAAUAAUUCACGGGCAUGAACUAUACCAAAAAACUAGUAGAUAUACCUUCAUUUUCUUGAUGUCACUCCAGGCCAGCUUGUUAAAUAAUAGUAUAAAUAGUUGUCUUUCCCUAUCUGUCUCCUAAAAGAUAUACACAUAUAUAUAAUGCAUAAUAUGUAAUAGAAAAUUAGAUAUGAAUUUCUUGAGUUGGGGAGGAGAGAGAGAGAGAGAGAGAGAGAGAGAGAGAGAGAGAGAGAGAGAGAGAGAGAGAGAGAGAGAGAUGGAUUUCUUGAGUUUCAUACUAUUGUGUCUUAUAGUUGCAUGGAUCUCAAUCCAUACCCUCUAUUAUUCCUUUGCAAGAAGAUCAUCAAAUCCCACAAGGCUUCCACCUGGACCAAACCCAUUUCCCUUCAUUGGAAAUCUUCUAGAGCUUGGAAACAAACCCCAUCUCUCUCUAACCAAGCUUUCACAACGCUAUGGCCCCGUUAUGACUUUACAACUCGGCCAAAUAACAACAGUCGUAGUUUCUUCAUCCGCAGUGACCAAACAAGUCCUCCGCACCCACAACCAAUUCUUCUGCAUCCGCCGUGACCAAACAAGUCCUCCGCACCCACAACCAAUUCUUCUGCAACUGAACUAUCCCGGAUGCAGUCCAAGCCUGCAAGCAUGCUAAGUAUGUUAGAAUUCAAUGUUUUCAGCAUUUUGGAUGUUUUGGGAAGAAUGAAGAGAUCACAGAGUGAGUGUGAGGAAGAGAACGUUGCUCUCAGAAAAGUAGAAAAACUUCAGAUAUUGCUAUUCAUCAUAUUCCACUGUUUUUGUAUAUUGGUAUAUGAGUGAGAGAAGUGAGCUACUUCUCUAACUGAUUUACAAGGGAAUUAAAUCCUAGCCUUUGAUCCUAUCAUCCUAUGAGAUGAUCCCACUUGUCAUAAUCUGACAUUUAGAUCCUAGGCAAGAUAAGAGGCCACUUGGACUAUGAUCCAAUGGCUCAAAUUACAUCAGAAAAAAAUAAAACUUAUAAAAUGAAAUAGAAAGGACUUUGUGACUUUGGCUCCAAGGCAUUCAGCUUAAGGGUUACACAUCAACACUCCCUUCUAACCCUUUAGCUGAUUUCACACCAAGUAGGUCUCUUAGAUACACAAAACGAUCCUUGGACAAAGCCUUGGUUAGUAUGUCUGCAAUCUGAUCUUCUGAUUUACAGUAGGUUAGUUCAAUCUCCUUUGCUUGAAUAGCUUCUCGAAUGAAAUGAAACUUUCGGCUAAUAUGUCUGGUUUUCUGGUGGAAAACUGGAUUCUUUGCCAUUGCUAUGGCAGAGGUGUUAUCACACAAAAUUGGUGUACCUUCCACUUGUUCCUCUCCAAAAUCUUCAAGUAUGAACCUUAGCCAUUUAGCUUGUGAUGUUGCUUCAACAGCACUAACAUAUUCUGCCUCUGCAGUGGACAAGGCUACUGUGUUUUGUUUAAUUGAUGCCCAUGAGAACAUCCCAGAUCCUAGUGUGAAUGCAUAUCCUGAAGUACUUCUUCUAUCAUCUUCACUUCCUGCCCAGUCACUGUCACAAUACCCAAUCAAGGUAGUUGUCUUCCCUUUUAUAAAUUCAAUUCCAAAGUCAAGUGUGCCCUGAAUGUAUCUCAAUUCCCUCAUGGCUGUUCCCAUGUGUUUUCUAGUAGGAUUAUGCAUGAAUCUAGCAAGCAAGCUAGAAGCAAACAUUAUGUCUGGUCUUGUAGCUGUCAAAUAGAGCAGGCUACCUACAAUCUGUCUAUAUUCACUCUCAUUUGCUGCCUCACUGCCAUCUUCUUUGCACAACCUUUCACUUGCAACUAGUGGAGUUACCACAGACUUGCAGUCCUUCAAUCCAAACUUUUCAAUCACUGUCAAUGCAUAUUUCUUCUGAUGAAGAAAGAUAUGUUUAUCUGUUUGUAAUACUCCCAUCCCAAGAAAAUGGUAGAGUAGUCCAAGAUCAGACAUUUCGUAAUGUUGCAUCAUAUCAUUUUUGAACUCUUCAAGUAACUUUGGACAACUUCCAGUAUAGACAAUAUCAUCCAUAUAGAGUGAGACAAUAAGAAUACCUGAAUCUUCACUUGUUUUGACAUAAAGUGUUGCUUCACUAGGACUUUUCUUGAAUCCUGCCCUGUUGAAGUAAGAGUCUAUCUCAUCAUACCAGACUCUUGGAGCUUGCUUUAGUCCAUACAGGGCCUUAUUCAACUUAUACACUCUGAUUUCUUCAUUUUCCUUCACAAAAUCCUGUGACUGCUCCACAUAAACCUCUUCCUUUAACACUCCAUUCAGAAAGGCAGAUUUUACAUCCAGUUGAUAUAGAUUCCAUUCCUUCUGUGUAGCAAGUGCUAUCAAUGUUCUAAUAGUAUCCAAUCUUGCUACUGGAGCAAACGUCUCAUUAUAGUCUAUUCCAGGCUUCUGAGAGUAGCCUUUUGCCACAAGUCUGGCCUUGUUUUUCUGCACAGAUCCAUCCAGAUUUAGUAUAGUUUUGUAGACCCACUUGACACCAAUAAUUGGCUUGCCAAAUGGUCUGUCCACUAGUUUCCAUGUAUUAUUUUUCUCAAUCAUUUCCAGCUCAGCCUUCAUUGCAUUUCUCCAUGACUCAUCUAGAUCAGCUUCUUCAAAACUGUCAGGUUCCACAAUGCACAUAUUGCACUGAGCCAUGAUUUCGUUAACACAUCUCCAUUUCUUUGGUGUGUGAUCUAUAGCUUGAGAACUUUCACUUAUUCCUUCAUUUUGCAGAGUAAAGCCUUCAUCCAUUUGGAUUGGUGUAUCCAAGCCUUGACUUGGUUCAUUUUGUUGUGUGAUUCCUUCAUCCAUUUGCAUUUGUGUAUCCAAGCUUUGACUUGGAUUACAAUUUUGAUUUUCAGUAGACACAGGGACUGUCAUUUCUCCUGCACUUGCAUUCUCCCACUUCCAUGAGCUAUUCUCAUCAAACUGCACAUCUCUGGACAGAAUAACCUUUCUAGUGCUUGGAUCAAAUAGCCUGUAGCCCUUUUCACAGAGUCCAUAACCCACGAAUAUACACUUGUGGCUAUUUUCUUCAAGUUUAUGCCUUAAUGCUGAAGGAAUGAGCACAUGACAAGGAGAUCCAAAUAUCUUUAAGUGUGCAAUUCCUGGUUUUCUGCCAGUAUAAGCUUCAAAUGGUGUUACCUUCUUGAGAGACUUGGUGGGAUAUCUAUUUAGUAGAUAGACUGCAGUAUUUACAGCUUUAGCCUAAAAAUCAUAAGACAUACCCUUCUCAUGCAGUAUAGAUUUUGCCAUUUCCAUUACUGUCCCGUUCUUUCUCUCAGCAACUCCAUUUUGCUGAGGGGAGUAUGCUAUAGUUAGCUGCCUUUGAAUUCCAAAUUCAUCACAGAACUUGUUAAAUUCACUGAAUAAAACUCUCCACCCCUGUCACUCCUCAGGCCUUUUAUCUUAUAUCCACUUUGCAGCUCAGUCAUAGCCUUGAUCUUUUUAAAACAUUCGAGUGCACUUGACUUGUUUCUGAUGAAAUAUACCCAUGACAUUCUAGUGCAAUCGUCAGUAAACAGCAAGAAAUACCUAUUUCCAGAGAUGGAUUCAGUCUUCAUUGGUCCACAGAUGUCUGUGUGAACCAAUUCCAAAGGACUUGUAGCUCUCCAAGUGAACUCCAAAGGGAAAGAAUCUCUGUGUUGCUUUCCUAGCAUGCAGCCUUCACAUACUACUGAAAUUUGCCCCAAAUGAGGUAAGCCAUGUACCAUGCCUUGAUCCUCAAGCAGUUUUAUGCUUCUUUCUUUUAAGUGCCCCAAUCUCUUAUGCCAUGUCUGCAAGCAGUGUGUAACACCUGCCUUUAAGGCCAAAUCAUUUGCAGGCAUUAUUGUAAGUGGAAAGCAUCUGUUAUUGGUCAUUUGAACCCUCACAAUCAGAUUUCUCAGUGACUGAUCAUCAUAAACAUUCACCAUAUUCUCUCCAAACACAAGAUAGUACCUAUGCUCCAUCAUUUGCCCAACACUAAGCAGAUUUUCUUCAAGACUAGUUACAAGCAUUACUUCUUGAAUGUGCUUCUUACCCAACUUGGUUUUUAUCACAAGAGUCCCUUUUCCUGCAACUGGAACUAUUUCUCUAGUACCCAUCUUUACUUUAGAAGUCAAAUUUCUUUAUAUAUUGACUAACAGACUCUCAUCACCUGUCAUGUGGUUACUACAGCCACUGUCAAUGUACCAAGAAUGAUUUUCCUUCACAUCUAUCACAGCAUUGCAUGCAUAGAAUAGGAUUCCAGUUUCUUCAACUUGAUUUGCAUAGUUCAAUUUUUGUACAUUUUUAUUUCCAUGACACUCUCUGAGCAUAUGUCCAAAUUUCCCACACCCUUUGUAUUUAGGCUUUCCUUCAAACCAACAUUUGCCAAAAUGCAGUUUCUCACAGUGUUUACAAGCCGUUUUAUUCCCAUAGUUAGAUUUCCAAUUCUUUUGAGGUUUUUGAUCUCCAGAAGAAACUCCACUCUUAGAAUUCUUUUCUUCAAUAUUCAGACUAGUAAAGGACAUUUCUGUAGAGUUCUCAUUGUGUCGAUCCAAUCUGAGCUCAAAGCUCCUCAGAGAAGCAACUACUUCUUGAAUUUCAAGAAUCUCAAGAUCCUUGGAGUGUUCAAUCACAGAGCAGUGGUUCAAAAUCUCAAACAAUCUAGCAAGAUAUACAGAUAGGGAUUCACUGUCUUUCAUGCGAGUAUAUUCAAAUUCUCUACGCAAUCCUUGCAGUUUUACAUUUCGUACCUGUUUAUCUCCUCUGAAUUCCAGCUUCAAAAUAUCCCAAGCACCCUUUGAGGUCUCCUCAUUCACUAUUCUGGGGAAGAGCUGAUCUGAGACAGCACUUUGGAUCAAUCCAAGUGCACGAGCAUCCUUCAUCAGAAGCUCAGCCAUCGUAGACUUCUCAGCAACCUUAGUCUCUUCCAUCUCCUUUUCCUUCUUUGGAUCUGAAGCAUUGAAGCCAUGUUCAACCAGAUCCCACAAUCCGUGAGAUUUCAGUAUUGUUUUCAUCCGAAUGCUCCAGAACUCAUAGUUUUGUCCAUUGAAAACUGGUGUGCGAAGCUCAGUAGUGCCCGAUCCUGACAUAUUAGACAUUGGAUUCAAGAAAUCUCAGCUGCAAUCGUAGAAGGAGCUCAGACCCAGCUCAAAUCAAUUCCUACUCCCUGUUCACAGAUUCACGCCCAGCUCAAACAAUCGAACCUGGCUCUGAGGCCAUGUUAGAAUUCAAUGUUUUUAGCAUUUUGGAUGUUUUGGGAAGAAUGAAGAGAUCACAGAGUGAGUGUGAGGAAGAGAAUGUUGCUCUCAAAAAAGUAGAAAAACUUCAGAUAUUGCUAUUCAUCAUAUUCCACUGUUUUUGUAUAUUGGUAUAUGAGUGAGAAAAGUGAGCUGCUUCUCCAACUGAUUUACAAGGGAAUUAAAUCCUAGCCUUUGAUCCUAUCAUCCUAUGAGAUGAUCCCACUUGUCAUAAUCUGACAUUUAGAUCCUAGGCAAGAUAAGAGGCCACUUGGACUAUGAUCCAAUGGCUCAAAUUACAUUAAAAAAAAAUAAAACUUACAAAAUGAAAUAGAAAGGACUUUGUGACUUUGGCUCCAAGGCAUUCAGCUUAAGGGUUACACAUCAACAAAGUACGGCAUGCCCUAGCUGACGGUUUCCCCCACUUGGAGAAACCUCCGCAAAAUAUGCAACACCCAGCUUUUCGCGGCCAAAGUUCUCGGCGCCAACCAGGCUAACCGUCACCUAAAAGUGUAGGAGCUCAUAGCUGACGUUAAGGAAAGCACUGUGAAGGGUAAGGCGGUUGAAGUUGGAAGGGCUGCUUUCAAAACUACACUCAAUUUGAUGUCGCGGACUGUGUUCUCUGUGGAUUUAGCGGACCUGAACAGUGAGAGGGCUAGAGAGUUCAAGGAGUCGGUAUGGAGUAUAUAUUAUGGAGGAGAUUGCGAAACCAAACUUGGCUGUUUAUUUUCCUGUGCUUAAGAAGGUUGAUCCCAUGGGGAUACGGCGCCGUUUGGGCAAGCACUUCCAGAAGAUGAUUGAUCUUUUUGACCGCAUGAUCGUCCAAAGGUUAGAAUCAAGGAAGUCACGUGAUUAUGUCACAGGGAAUGAUAUGUUGGAUAGUUGCUACUUAUUGCUAUAUUACUACUCUACUCUAUCUCUACUAAUUGUUCUUGAUGACCUUGUCUGAAUUCAUAAUUAAACUGCUUAGAUUUUACAAUUAUAACUUAUUAUUGUUGUUUCUGUUUUUGUUUAUGUUAGUACUAUAAACAAUGUCUACACUGAUUAAUGUUUUGUGUUCGAAUUUCCCUAUAUUGCUUGUACAAAAAUAUAUAUAUAUAUAUAUAAUUUUAUUUCGUCAUUAUAUGUCUAUGUGCCCAUAUUAAUUUAUUGACUAAUUAACUUUUUGGUGAAUUAGGAUUUAUUUGGUGCGGCCACAGAUACAACUUCAGCCACACUAGAAUGGGCAAUGGCUGAGCUAUUACACAACCCUGAAAAGCUGUCAAAAGCACAAGAGGAGCUGAAGCAGGUCAUUGGCAAAGGAAAACCAGUGAAGGAAUCAGACAUCACUCGGCUCCCUUACAUAUACAAGCCAUAAUCAAAGAGACCUUCCGGCUGCACCCAGUUGUCCCACUUCUUCUCCCUCGUAGAGCCCAAGCAGACGUAGAAAUCUACACUUACAUUGUACCAAAGGGUGCACAAGUUUUGGUCAACGCAUGGGCCAUCGGCAGAGACCCCAGAAUUUGGGACAACCCUACCUCAUUUAUUCCUGAGAGGUUUUUGGGAUUGGAUAUCGACGUUACUGGCCAGAACUUUGAGCUUAUUCCAUUUGGUGGCGGGAGGAGAAUAUGUCCUGGGUUGCCUUUGGCGAUGAGAAUGUUGAAUUUGAUGUUGGGUUUGCUUAUUAACUCGUUUGAUAAUUGGAAGCUUGAAGAUGGAGUUGUGCCGGAAAAAAUGAACAUGGAAGAGAAGUUUGGCCUCAGUUUACGGAUGGCUCACCCUCUGAUAGCUGUGCCCAUCAAGUAUUAGGAGAACCAAACCUAGCUAGCUAUGGUUUCUACGAUAAAUGGAUUUAUGUUUUUAUUAGGGAGUUACAAUAAUUAAUCCUACUAAUGAUAGGAAAUGGUCAGUUGUCAGUUGUCAGUAAUGUUGUUAUUAGGCCAUAACUCCAUAUUUAAGUUUAUGAUAGUAGCUUGCUGUAAUUGUAGAUUGUUCUCCACAGACUUCAUAUAUAUAUGUGUGUGUGUGUGUGUGUAUUGUAUAAUAAUCAUAUGAAUGACUAUGGAAAAAUAAGUUUCUACAUGGUAUCAGAGCUAAUGGCUAAUGCCGAUUAGCGAUCCUCUAAUUACCAAAUUGAGAGUCGUUGGCACUCCUCACUCCUCACUCCUCACCCUUAAGGGUUUUUGUUUAUGUAUAGUGCUUUUUCAUCUCCUCUUCUCAAAGACGAAUAUGUUUUUCCUUUCCACCUUAGCUGUAGCCACACCUUUCUUUUACCACUGCAACCUUUUCUUCUAUUAGCCCGUUAUUUUUGUGUCUCCGUCGCGCCGUCUUUAUUGCAGACCAUCCCCUCCAUUGAGCUCUCCCGGGGCAACCCACAGCAGCUCCAUUUAUCUCCCUUGGCCAUGAUGGCCAGAUUUCUGUUUCCUUCGCGAGCCUCGUCACCACUCACCGAGUCUUCUCCUCGCCGGCCUUUAUCUCUCUCAUGCCAUGCUAUCUUGCUGUUGUUAUUCUCUUGCACAGCCGUUGCCUAUCCCUCUUAUGGCUCGCCGGCCCCUUGUUAUCCAUCAAUGUUGGGCCACUUCUCUCUGCUGAAACUGAGCAGCAAAUUUUCCUUACCUUCUUGAGCUUCUUGUUCUCAUAAGCUCCAUCUUUUUGUCUGUUUUCCCUCAAAGACCAUACCUCUGUAUCAUUGGUUUCUCUCAUUUUCUUGAAAUCUCCCUCCACUUUCUUUAUUUUGAGCUUCUUUCUCUGUUUAUCUGAGAGACUCUCCCUCCCUAUCAAGGAGUUCUCUUUUCUCUCUCUUCCAUUUUCAACAUUUUUGGUUUUUUUUUUUUUUUUUUUUGUAAUCUUCUUGUUUUACUCUUCACACCACUGAUAUCCCUUUGCUUAGCUCUCUUUCUUGAGCUCUAUAUUUCUAUGCUUCCCACGUGCUGGGUUUUGCUCUCAUUUUCUUAUAUUUAUUUUAUUUAAAAAAAACAUAAUUUGUUUAUGAACUUGUCUCAAGAGCCUGUCUUGCUCACGCUCCUUUUUUUUUGUCUAUCUCACCGUGAAACUCUUACAUGGUUUUUUUUUUCCCUCUUUUUUGUCUAUGCCCAAUGGCAAGUGUUUGUUUGUUUGUUUUUUUUUUUUUUUUUUUGUGGUUUUUUUCUUCCCCAUCCCUUUACUUUUAAAAAUUGGGUUUCUCUCUCUUUGUGCACUACUUUCUGGCCUUUAUUUUCCCACUUACCGCAUGCUCUCUAUCCUACCUAAAGGGUGAUUCCUAGGUAGAGUUAUGUUUCUCAGGUGCCUAGAGUUGUUUCCUAUGUACAUUUGACUUGUAUGUCAGCCCGUCAUGUUUUUUCUUUCCUUCCAUGAGCCCAUGCACUAUACAUUUGACUUGUAUGUCAGCCCGUCAUUUUAUUCUUUCCUUCCAUGAGCCCAUGAGCUCCUUCACUUGUUGCCUUUCAAUGGGCAUUAUUUUUAUUUUUCUGUUACUUUGUUUCUCUCAAGCCAUUGUUGCACCUAUGGAGUUCUUCUUUUUGGUUUCCCUUACUGGACUACUACAUUCGAUUGCUGCCACCAUCUCCAUCACCAUGUAGUUUCUUCACUCAAAUCUUGCUAUGUUGUGUGCGAAGAUGGUUCUCUACAGACUUGUAUAUAUAUAUAAUGUAUAAUGAUCAUAUGAAUUACUAAGGAAAAAUCAGUUUAUAUAGUUUUCAUCUUUUAUAAAUUAAGAUUAUGUUGUGUAUGCAUCCACCUUGUAACUCAAGUGGUUUUGAACUAGGGAUGGCAAUGGGUCGAAUCAGGGGUGGGCAUGGCAUUUCCAUCCCCAUCCCAUUAAGCUUUUUUCCCCAUUCCCGCCUUCAUAACUGUAAUAUUCAUAUCGGGGAUUCCCUAUCCCCACCUUCAAUGGAGAAUGGAUUCUGAUAGGAUCCGCUCCGGAAUUUCCAGGAAACCGAAGCGGACCCCGUCUUUGUUCCGACAUCUACCCGAUGCCGGGCCCACUUACGAAGAAACCGAGACUUUCUACCAAAAAUUUGGCAGAGUCUCCCCUGUAAUUUAAGCAAACCCAACAAAAAUUUUCAACAUGCAACAUACAUAAAUUAAAAAUCCUAACCAGCAACAUGCUUUCAUAAUUCAACAAGUCAUACUAAAUGGCCUCCGGCCUCACAAGUAUAAUCUACCAUGGGUGAUAACAGAGCAUCUACUGAAUUUAGAUUACAAGAACAGUUGAGUAGAAGAAAUUACUCAAAUCCUAACUAGGAAGGUUCACAGUUCGAGGCUCGUACACCAUUUGCACGCUUCCGGGAGCGACUAUUGGCUGAGGGGCGCGAAACAGAAAACAUGUGAGUAGACAAAAACCAUAUUUGCAGUUUAAAAUAAUAUAGUAACCCCAUCGUGUAAAAAUAAUGCUCAAAUCAUGCAGGUUCACAAUUCAAUAUUUAAUUACUCAAAACAUGAUUCAUUUAAAACUCUUCAAAAUACAAAUCAUCUCCUUCAUAAACCCCAUUCUCUCAAACUUACAACUCCUGCCAAACCACUGAAAAAAUUUAAUUCUACACUCACUCAACUAUACAUAUAUAUAUAUAUAUAUAAAUAUAAAUAUACAUAUAUAUAUAUAUAACUAUAAAUAGUUAUACGAUAUACUCAUCACACUACCUAGGUACCGGAAAAACGAUCCAACUGGGGGGAUCGUUUGAUUAGUCCACAGGAUUUCCAGGUGCUAUCCUGCGUCUAGGGAUGAGCGGUCCAACAGGGGGACGAAACUCCAAAGCUCCCACACCGGAACAUCCAACGCCAUGUGUAGCCCCCAAACUAUGUCCUACGCGCGCAGACUGGAUCAUCACACACCAGAACAUCCAACGCCAUGGGUGAUGACCCUAAACACUAUACAGGUCUUUCCAUACGCCGGAACAUUCAACGCCGCAUAUAGAAAGUGUCUCACACGCUGGAACAUCCAACGCCGCGAGUGAGACGCAUAACCUAUUCUUCCCACACGCCGGAACAUCCAACUCCGCGUGUGAAAAGUCUAAUAACUGAGGAAGGUACUUACAUAGUGUAAUCAUACAACUUCUCACAACAACCCCUCAUAAUCAAGUUCUAUCACAACGCACUACAACAACCCAAGUAUCUCGCCUAUAGAGAAUAUAUAUAUACUUCCCCAAAAUCCUUAUAAAACACACUCUCGAUACCCAAAAUGCCAAACUUACAAUAUAUUGCCAAGCGCUAUACAAACAUUAUAUUCAACUCAAGAAUAUAAUAUAUUCAAUAAGCCAUUAAAAUAUUAUGCAAAAAUAUUUCGUCAAUAAAACCAUGCAUAUGAUUGAAAACAAAGUCCACUCACAAAUAUUCCCACACUGCCUGACCACGUGAGCGUCAUGCCUGCUAAGUACGUGCAGUCGAAACACCUAUUUCGAGAUACGAACCGUUAAUUAAUAUAAAAUUACGUCGAAGCGGAAAUCACAAAUUAAAUGCUUAAAUCCCCAAAUUCCCAAUACGUGCACGUUGAAGAAGGUGUCCUAAGGUCCGAUUACAGGUUUGGAAUCGUUCACGAUUUUACGGUUAUCGCUAACCCGCAAACUUUGCGUUAUUGAAUCGGAACAUCCGGGACUCCGAUUCAUAAUCCGUGAAGUCCCAUACGGUCCUAGGAAUACCUAGAACAACAUAUUUUAAUUCGGAAAAGAUCUAAGGGUCGGAACCUAUCGAACCCGGAUAACGCACAAUAUGCGAAAAUCCGUUCGAUAGUCAAACGACGUCCGAAUUGAGAUCCGCGAAUUUCUAUGUGCUCGUGACAACCUAAGGAUCUCAUUGGGUUAAAUUGCAUCUUCACAGCCUCGCCCACGCGCUGCCACAUGCGCCAGCAGUGCGUGGGUGUGUAGAGUAAUUUCGGUGACAGAGAAACUCCACACCCGAGCUCACCCUUCCUAUCCUAGCUUCUACUCAAGGUCAGGAUCACUUCAUUCAACUAUGGGAAGGUCCAAUUCGGGCGGCAAUUGGCCGGAAUUUCACUUUGAAAUCCAGCCAAAACCUAGGUUUCUAAUCGAUUUUCUAGACAACAAUUCGGUCCAAACCUAUACAACAAUCAGCUAGAACUCGGAAAAUGGAUGAGAAACCAUACCUCACUCAUCGGGUUUGGGCGGCGGAGGCAGCGGCGCGACGACGGGAAAGCUCCAGUUCAAACCAGUCGAGCUCGUGGCCGGAGUUCGUGGUUUCCGACGGGAAAAACCGGCUAGCCUUGAUCGGGACGUCGAGGCGAAUCGAUCGGGACCGGUGGCGUGCCUGGCCGUGGCCGGUGCAGAGAGAACCGAAGAGAGAGAGUGUCGGUGUCGGGGAGAGAGAGAGACUGAGGAGAGAGAAAGCUGAGCGCGGGCGAGGAGAGAGAGAGAGCUUAGGUGAAAAAAAUCUGAUUUUUACUCUAACCUUUUCGAAAUAAUUAUAGUUUUGCCACUGAUAGAGUUUUGCUCGUAACUUUUUCGUUACAACUCCGAUUCAAGCCUACCGCGUGUCUACGAAUUCGUCUCAGUACCACCUACCCGAAAAUACCAUUCAUGGUCCCAAAAUCCUUCUGGAUAAGAAAAUGACCAAUUUACCCCUACCCCAAGGGUAAAUUCGUCAUUUAUUUUAAAUCAAUUAAAAUAGACAUUAAUUUUGGAGUCGGGGUGUUACAGAUUCCUUGACCUGCCCCAUUACGUAUGAAAGAAAAAAUUAAUAUAAAACUACUUUAUUUGAAAGAAAGAAAAAAAAAAAGGACUAGGGCAAGAUAAUGAAUAUAUAUAAUAUAUUAUCUAUGUACAAGACAAUAUAAGAAUGUUUAUAUGUUGACUGGAAGUUAACUAAAUAUAUAAGUAGUGUAGCUUAAAAUUUGUAUAAAUUUUAUAAAUAUAUAAUAUAAUAAUAAAAAAUAUAAAAAUAAAUCGACACAAUCACUUUAAUAGCAUAUUUAUAUAUACUAUAGUGUGUGUAUAUAUAUAUAUGUAUAUUCUAAAAAGGAGGGGGAGGAGGGGUGGGGUGGUUCGGGUUGGGGAUUAAAAUAUCAUCCCUACCCUUCCCCUAACACUAUACCCAAAAAAUUUAUUGUACCCGUCCCCAUACCUGUUUUUUAUCCUUCUUACUCGACCAUUAGGGUUGAAUCUGUGUGAAGACCCUUACCCGUGGUUAAAAUUGCCAUCCAUAUUUUGAAUAGUUAUCUUCCUUGCACUAUGUAGGGGCUUUUUUGUUCCGGCAGCUACAGAUGGGCCUGAGCUGCUGUAAAAAGCAAAAUAGGUGGAACUGCCCGUGUGUUUGAGUUCAAUAAUCAGACCCCAAGAGUGCUUCGAAAGGUUCUUGGAGCCUUAGGAAACACCUUGGCUUCCUUCACCAACAAAACCAACAGUUGCUUAUAGAUAAGUAUUUAGGCUUGGCUUGAGAAGUUUGUGGCAUGGGAGCUGAGCAUUCAUGAGUUUAGCAUGAGAGAGAGAGAGCUUGGGUUUCUUAUGAGAAACAGAGGCUUGAAGUAAGGGGAAUAGGGAGUUUUUGGGUGGAUUUGUUGAGGGAAGAGAGGGAAAGAUGAAGAUGGAAGAAUGAGUGGUUUUAGCAAAUUUUCAGCAGCUUGACGAAAGUUUUGUCAGGCUCUUGAGUGUUUUGCCAGAAGAGAAAAGGGGAAGCAAUGGAAGAACAUGGCUCGAAAUUGUAGGGUUCCAGUGGUGAGAGGUGUUGCUUGCUCUCUCUAGAUGCGGUUAUGGGAGAGAGAGGAAGAACAUGGAAGAAUGGGUGGUUUAGCAAAUUUCCAGUAGCUUGACGAAAGCUUCGUCAAGCUCUUGAGUGCUUUGCCAGAAGAGAAAAUGGGAAGGAAUGGAAGAACAGGGCUCGAAAUUGAAGGGUUCCAGUGGUGAGCGGUGCUGCUUGCUCUCUCUGGAUGUGGUUGAGAUGAUGGGUAGGAGAUACCCAUUUUUAUAGGUGCUGGAAACUUUUUUUUCCCAAGAAACCCUAACUGAUUCUUCCCAAAUCAGCCAAGUCUCCCCCUAUAUUCCUCUUCUCUUCCUUUGAUUCAUCAUUAUUUUAUGAAAUCCCCCUAAUCCGAACACACAGAGACAAGAUUUUUUGGAGCUCUAGAGUCUUCCCGCAGCUGCUGCAGUGGUGAUCUCCUAUCUUUGGCUACCACCUCUCCUUCUUUCCUCCCUUAUUUCAUGGCAAGAGCUGGUAGGAGAAAGAAAUAGGUAACGGCGUUGGUAUGAAGGCUGCUUUUCUCCUAGCAACCUGCGCACGCAAAUAUCCUUUGGUUUUCUCCAAUAGUCUGUCUUGGGUUUGCCUUUGGAGACUCCCAGUAGCUUGCUCAUACAAGUAUCCUUGGUUUUCGGUUAUGGUUUUGUCUCUAGCCAUGUGCUAGAGACUUUCAGAUAUUUUCUAAGUCACUUGGGCCAUUCCCAAAGGUGAUGGGCUAGUUUACUAAGGGCCAACUUUCUAAAGUGAUGGACUAAUUUAAUAAGAUGAUGGGCCAAUUUUCUAAGGUGAUGGGCUAUCUUUCCUCUCUUUCAUACUUACCCACAUAUUUGGGCUCAAGAAAUGGGCUCGAGUUUUGGGGUUCCCAAGCAGCCCAAAACUUCCACUUUUUGGCUCAUCAAUGGGCUAUGUGAAUGCUCGUAACCAUCCAUACCACAACCCACUCAGCAAGCCCUGGUCAUUUGUGUGGCUUGGGCCCACUUAAGCUUGUAGCGUGGCUAGGUGCAAAAUAAAGGUUUUUCGCUUGGCAUUGCAUGUCGAUUGGCAUGCUCGUGCUCGAAUUUUAUUAUUUUUUAAAUGGCUAUGGUCGAGUCAAAACGACGCUUGACGGGAUAACAUUUAGCAUGGGUUCAUAGAGCCAGUACAUUUUACGGGCUUGCUACGACCUUUUUACUUGGCGUGUUGCGUAUUUGCUUGGCGUGGCACGUGGAUUGCAACUCGCGUGAGAGUGGAUGAUGAACUUUCGCGUGCCCAAAUGGGGGUUUCUUCUCAGUAAGGUGUCGCACUGGGACGGAAAUAUAUUUGGGCCUACUCUUAGAUUUUUGUGGGCCUCAACACACUCAAGAUUCUGUGUUUGAAUCUCACCCACCCAAUAUCGAUCGCUUUUAUUAAAAUUAAAAAAAAAUAGAGACUAUGUCGUGUAUAUAUCUCAAUCAUUCAUUAAAUUUGAAUCUUAAUAACAAUUGGUUGCUGUAAGAACGUCCAGCAAAAUUAACUAUGAAGAUAGUUUUUUCUCUGAGGAAGGUUUAUUGGGGUGAAUAGAGUAAUUGGACUGCCUUGGCUUUAUGGGGCUCCUACCAUUGUUGACAAUAGGGCUACUAAUUAUAUUGGCCGUGUUUGUUGGUGGUCCUUUGAUUUCUACCUGGCAGCUGUCGAUUUUUUUUUUCCUGUUGUUUCAUCCUUGGUUAUAUUAGCCGCGGGCCUCGGCAGCUUCUUUCUUUUCUUUGCAAUUCCGUCUUAAUUUUUGUCGUGCAUGAUAAAAUUGACCUUAAAUUGCUUGGCGCUUUGGAUAAAAAAAACAGUUUAUUCAAUGCACAUUCUCAACUCGUCUUUUUCCUUUGUCCAUAAGUAAGGUUGCCGGUCUAGUUCUUUCGAUUGAUGGAGCUUAUGGUAAGAAUUUAGAUGACUUCAUUUUCGUCAAGUCACAUCAGUUGCCUUUCCCAAUCUGUCUUAAUGAGAUUGGACAAAUAACUUUAAUGGACCAGUGCGCGCAACCCAUAUGAUUUUAUCUUGGUAUGACAAGAAUAUUUAUAUGAUUUUUGGCACCGACCAUGUAUAGAAGAACAAAUUUGAUAAAAGCUUCCUUACCAAAAAUGGCUGUUAGAGAUUGCUUGUAAUAGGUGUUUUGAAUUAUUUAGUGUCGUCAAAUUAAGUCACAUAAUGCACAUGUGAGGUUGCCGGCCUAGUUCUUUUCCUUUGUCCUUUAAAAUUUUUCGUCAAAUCAAGUCACAUAAUGCACAUGUGAUUUUUAAGGGUAUUUAUGUCAAUCACUAUAUAUCUAUCUAUAUAUAUAAACCAAAAGGCAGAGAAUGGUGAAACAUUCAAAAUACCAAAAAAUGCCCUUGGUUAAUGCAAACAUUAAGAAUUGAAAUUAUUAAUUAAAUGAGGAUAAUAUGGUAAAUUCACAAUUUUUCGUAUUAAAAAAAUUAAAAUUAAAAGAAAAUUCAGAUAAUGGGUCCUAUUUUUAUGGAACACAAAUAUCCAUUAUCUUUUUUAAUUCUAAAAUAAAUUAAAAUUUUUUAAAAAAAAACCUCUCGCAUGCGCGGAAGCGCGUGCAGAGAGGCUAGUAUAUAGAAAAUUUAAAAACUAACAGAAUUUAAUUUUAAAUGAAAAAAAUAAGUAGGAAAACUAACCAAAUAAUUUCACAAACUUCCCGACCUCCUUCCAACACCAAUUCGCCCUCACCAAAAUAAAGUGAACAUUUUCUCUCUGAAAUUGAGUUAUUCUUGGUCGAUGGUUGAGGCCAAUCUUCAUCUUUCUUCUUCGUUUUGUUUUUUCUCAAAAUUUUGGUGUUAGUUCACUAGGCUUGGAUCUCAUACGUCCUGCCUCUUAAAAUUUCUUCACAACACAUCACAGGAAGAUGAAUUUAGAAACUGUAGAUCAUUGCGUCUUAAAAUUUGUUCACUACUCUACACAUCCCCUUCAAUAUGAUGGUAGAUUGACCUUGCGAAGGCCAUAUCUAAAGGAAAAGCAAACAGAGCCAUGACACUGGAAUACAGAUUUUUGUUUUGUAAAUUUUUUAUAAGUUAUUCGGUGUUGAUUUUCCAAUUUAAAAAAUGUGUUUGGAAAUCUUGUUGGCUCAAUCACUUUUCUUUCUUUGUUUCUACUCUUUUAUAAAUUUUUUUUGGGAGCUAUUAGUAAUAUACUCAGAAUAGGACCUGAAAUUAUAAAAAAAACUCUAUAUAAAAUACACUUUAGAAACACACCUAAAAAUCAUUUACUAUAUAAAAAAUGAGUGUUGGAGUUCCUAUAAAUUACAUCUCUGUCAUUGAUUAACUUAAAACAAGCCCAAUACAAAAAACUAAAAAAAACCCAAAAUAAGCCCAGCAAGUCCAACUCAUAUUUGACCACCAAAAAAAAAAAAAGAAAAGCCCAAGAAACCCGAAGUACAUUAUUAAUACCAUAUCAUAGAAGUACAUUAUUAAUACCAUGUCAUAAAGAUACAUUGUUAAUAUCAUGUCAUAGAAGUACAAUGUUAAUAUCAUUUUAUAGAAAAAUAUUGUUAAUACCAUUUCAUGCAAAAAACUCAAGCAAGACAUCCGAUAUCCUUUGCAAAAACCACCUCCAAUUAUCCAUAGUUUCACCAGAAACAAUCGCAAAGGCAAAAGGAAAUAGCUCUACAAGGAAAAAAAAGAAAAGAAAGUACACUGUUAAUACUAUGUCAUAGACCUAUCUUCCAAGUAAAAAUCACAUUAUGCAUAUCAUAAACUUCAAGUGCACAGCUAUAUAUAGAGCAAAAUAUAUAGCAUGCUUUGUUACUGAAAAUAUGUUAACACUAUGUCAUAGAAGUACAAUGUUAAUACUAUGUCAUAUAAAUCAACUCAGUUGUAGGGUAUGAACAGUAUAACAACUGUUCAUACCACUUACUGGAAGCUAACAAUAUCAUUUCAUUCCUGCCACCAUCAGAAUCAGCAUAUUUGUGAGGAGAGAAAGAGUCGCCGGACAAGACUUCAGAGUAGGAUCCAAUAGCAUAUGAAGCUUGUUUCAGAUACAUCAUCAUUUUGGCGUGGGGUUCAGGAUAAGAAGCAAGUUUCUCAUCCCCUGCAUAGGAGGGGUUCAACAAGUUUUGGUUGCUUAAAUUUUGGAAAUAUGUAGCCAUAGCUUGGUUGGUUGGUUCCUCUGUCUCCAAAGCCAAAGCCUUGAGUUAACCUGCUACAAAAUCCAAAUUACCAAUCUUGCUCAUAAACAAAUUAACAUUGUAGAUCAAUCACAGAUUCCUAACAUAGAAAAUAAGAAACUCAUAAAAAAGAAAGCCUAACCAAAAUUACCAAAAGCAAAACCAGUAAAAUGAAAAGGAAUCACAGAGUGAUCAAAAGAACAGAAGCCAAAUUUAACCCAAAUAUAAAAAUCGUCUUCUUCUUUUUUUUCGGAUCAUCAGAAGUAUGUAGUGAACAUGUUAACACAAGAAAUUAUAUCAAGCACUCAAAUUCCAUUCCAUUCCAUCACAAAGAAGAAUAGUAACAUAAUUAAUUAAAAUGAAAUCAACAGAGGAGCUUUUGAAGUGUACCUGAAAGUUGUGGUUUGGGAAUGAAUUGUGAAGUAAAAACAAAUGGAUAAAAGAGAAGAGAAACUGAGGCAAAGUCCUCCACCUCCUCGUCCUCCCUCCCGAAUUGGAGACAAACUCCAGAGUCAUCGAAAACAGCGUCGGAAAACUCGAAAUCUACAAACGUUUCCGAGCUGGCAGCGGCGUCGUGAGUGGCUGAGGUGGCUGUGAUUCAGCCCAGACAUGAUCACCGGCCCUGGCCGGUCCUUUUCUGAUCAGUCUCACGGUUGGCCGUGCUUGGACCACCAAGAUCGACGGCCAACCUGGUUUCUGCAAAGGGAGAGAGACAAAAGAGAGAGCCCCAGAAUUUUGAAAAAAAACUAAUUUAAUACUAAAAGGGUAAUAAAAGUAUUUCAUUUAACUAAUUAAACUAAAAAAUUUAACAGCUGUGAGUUUUUUUGGGUGUGUAUAUAUACAUUGAAUGGUGUAGGGUUUCUUUAUAAAAUUAUGUCUAGGAAUGGGUAUUUAACUUUUAUUUAUUUAUUUUGGGGGGCGCCGGGGGGGAGAGAGGGGGGGGGGGGGGGGGGGGGGUUUGGGCCCCCGGGGGGGCUUGUUUAAAACUAUGUGUUAAAAGGGGAGGAAAAAUCUUUGGAAAAUACGGGGGGGUUUAUUUUUUUUUUGGUAUUUAUUGGGGGUUGGCGGGGAAUGACCUUUUUUGGAGCAUGGGACUUGGUUUUNNNNNNNNNNNNNNNNNNNNNNNNNNNNNNNNNNNNNNNNNNNNNNNNNNNNNNNNNNNNNNNNNNNNNNNNNNNNNNNNNNNNNNNNNNNNNNNNNNNNCUAUCCUGGAUUGGAAUCGACGACCUUAUUUGAAGCAUGUGACUUGAUUUAACGGAAAUUUUUAAAGGAGUAGGACGUAGGUGGUAAAUAUUUCAACACUUUAAAUAGUUUAAGUGGUUACUAGAAAAAAUUAAAAAUUCAUGUGAUAAUCCCGCACGUACCUAAAAGUUUGGAUAAUAUUUAUGUAAAUUCCCCUUUAGGGUAAAUAGAGAUAGCUUGUAAAAGCUUCCACUCGUAACAAAUAAGUCCGGACCCAAAUUGUUCUCAAAUGUCUUUACCUAAGUUUGUCUCUUAGCUUAGGGGAUAUAUAUAAACGACUUAAAAGAGUUAGUAUUGAAAAGAUAUUUUUAUGCUUUCUCGAUAAGUCUCAACAAUCGUGCCAAAAAUUAAUUAAGAGUUAGGCGAGAGAUGGAUUUCUUGUGUUGCAUGCAAAUGUGUCUUAUGGUAGCCUGGAUUUCUUGUGGGGGAGCUGGGAGGAGAAGGGGAUGGAGAGAAAGAGAGGGAGGUUUUUUUUUUUUUUUAAUAAGGAUUUUUUAAAUGUUAUUUUAUUAUAUUAUAUAAUUAAUUAAUUAUUUUUUUAAAAGAAACAGUGGGUCCUAUAGUGGACAUGUCAUCAGUUAAACCAAACGGUCAACUAAACAGAAUGUCUAAAUUGGUCAAAUUUGAAAAUCAUCGAAUAUAAAUUAAUGAAAUUGAAACUCGAGAGUCUAUAUUGAGAAUGACCCUAAAUUUUCAGGAAGUCUUUUGACAUUAAUCCUAAGGCCACCUCCACCGCAGCCCAUUUUGCCAGGGCAAGAGGCCCAUAUUCUGGGGUUUGGACCUCCAGCGCACGCGAAGCAGCCCGGGCAAGCCUUGGGUCCCACCAACCCGGGCAAGCCCAAAGGCAGAUUUUGCCUCGGCUUCAGCCCGAAGGCCCUGACGUCAGCGAGCAAAAAAAAUUGAAAAUAAAUAAAAAAUAAUUCAAUUUAAAAAAAAAAAAACCAAAAAAUUAUGGAUGUUUUCCCUAUAAAUACGUAACAAUUUUGUUCACUUUCCACACCAAAUCCUCAUACAAACUCUUUUCCUUCCAAUAUUUGUAAAUUGUAAUCAUUUUUUUUUCUUGCAUUUGUAAAUUGUUUAUAUUUUCUUCCAUAUUAAUUUUUUUCUUGCAUAAUCAUUUUAUUUCUUGCAUUUCUAAAUUGUUUAUAUUUUGUUGCAUAUUCUUUUUUUUUCUUGCCCUUGCCCUACCCUUUUAGGUUGGAACCAAAAAAAAGGAAGGUUGCUACUAUUCACGUAAAUAGUAACAGCCCUUGCCUUGCCUUUGCCUUAGCCUUAGCCUUAGCCUUAGCCUUUUGGGGUGGACAUGCUCUAAUAUAUAUUUGUAAUUACAUGACAGUGUUUCAUGUUGCAUUCUCUGCGGGUCCUUUUCAAAAAAAUCAGCCAUGUGCACAAGAGUGAAUUUAGCCGAAGACAUGUCAUGUCUUCUGUUCAUAGAAAAACAACAAAGAAACUUUCUUUCCACAAAUGCAUGAAUGUACUGUCUCCUUGCGUCACGCAUCUCAAUUUUCAAGGUUGAUUGGUAAUAAGAAUAACUAAGAGCAUUCAUAGUGGUGGAGUGUAUUUUUGGUGGUGUAAAGCUACUUUUACAUCCCCUUUACACCUUCAGGGGGUGUAAAUACAUUUUUUUGCUCUAAUGAGAAACGAUGUAAAUCUAAGAUGUAUAAUUUUUCCUCUCUUUUCUCGAGUGGGUCUCGUCUGCAAAAGAUGUAAAAAUAUAUGCAAAUGUGCAUUUUAUUUUACAUUUCCAUAAUGAUAAUGUAUGUUACAAUCUUUUACAUCUCUCUAUUAAAGAUGAUUCCGAUAAACAAGGGAUGUAUAUUUAACAUAUAACUCCUUAUACACCCUCCCAUUAUAAAUGCUCUAACAAAACAUGAGCUCCUACUGGGAAAAAAAAAAUUCAAUGGGACCAAUAAUCAGUUAUUUUGAAUUGUAGCUACCCAUUCUUUGACUCACAUGCAUAUAUAUAUAUAUAUAUAUACUUUUCUUGGUGGGAAAAGUCCCUUGAGGAAAUUGUAUAGGAAAUUGUACUUUUUUGUCUUGUUGCAUUUUUCUUUUCUUGUUCAAGUAGUUUUGGACCAUCCUCUUUCAAAGCAGACAUGUGCAGUGCAGUUGCAAAAGACCAUUAGCCCUCGUGCAUGUUUAUGGGAAAAAACAAAACCACUGGCCCACUUGGCUAUAAAUUAUUGUAUGUAUGUCAUUUACCUUCUUCUUAUUUUAUUUUAUUACUGCAUGUCAUUUACUAUUUUACAUGUGAUGUGCAUCUGUGACUCUGUGAGAAUGAUAGCUUCCAAACGCUAGACACUAUGAGUGAUAAAUUAUUUUGAUUAUAGAAUUUAAAGUUAAAUGAUUUUAAUUCUUUGGAAUUUUUUAGACCAAAACUCGAUUUAUUCGAAUUAUAAUAGUUUAAUUUAACAACUUUUGUGCAAUUAGAAUUAGAGAGAAAAUGGAUUUCUUGAGUUUUUGUAUGGUCUUGCUAAGCCUUUUCUCUGUGUUGUUGUUCUCAAUUAUUCAAGUUCUGCAAAGCAAAGUCAAUUCCAAAAGGCAUCUUCUCCCACCUGAACCAAAGCCAUUGCCCUUUAUUGGCAAUCUUCUAGAGUUUGGCAACAAACCCCAUCUCUCUCUCACGAAGCUUUCUCAAAUUUAUGGCCCCAUUAUAACUCUGUAACUCGGCCAAUAUUCAUAUUGGGGAUUCUCCAUUCCCACCUUCAAUAGGGAAUGGGCAUUACGUACGGAAGAAAAAUUAAUAUAAAACUACUUUAAAAAAAAAAAAAAAAGACUAGAGCAAGAUAAUGCGUACAUAUAAUAUAUUAUCUACAUACAAGACAAUAUAAGAAUGUUUACAUAUUGACUGGGAAGUUAACUAAAUAUAUAAGUAGUGUAGCUUAAGAUUUGUAUAAAUUUUAUAAAUAUAUAAUAUAAAACUUAAUCGGCACAAUCACUUUAAUAGCAUAUUUAUAUAGCCCUGAUCUUUUGGACCAGAGGGGUUCCAGUGGCUUCUUUCUUUUCUCUACACUUGUCUUAAUUUUUGUCGUGCUUGAUAAAAUUGACCUUAAAUUGCUUUGUGCUUUCGACCAAAAAAAAAAAAAUGUUUAUUCGAUGCACGUUACGUUCUCAACACGUCUUUUUCCCUUGUCCAUAAGAAAUGGGCAAGUUGCAGGCCUCUAGUUCUUUCGAUUGAUGGAGCCUAAUUUCAGGAUCAUUUCUGGAUCCACCGGUGCCUCCUAAACUGUACACCAAAACCAUUCUUUAUUAUAAAAUAGUUGACCUUGUUAUAAAACCAAAGAAUUGAGGAGAGAAUUUAGAAGCAGGGAAACAGUAGGAUUGGUUCCUCUCUUCAGUAUUAUACCAUCCGUCCAUUACAAGGAGGGGUGAACCCUUUUGUAGGCAAAGCCCCUUCUAACAUGUGGUGGGCUCCACCUUAUCACCUUAUCACCUAAUCACCUUAUCAUUUACAACAGACCUUUGCUCAGACGCCCAUACUAACAUGGCAGAAGUAAAACAAUUGAACUUGAACACUAGAGAGGUGCUUGUUUGAAUAUGAAUAGCCACCUGGCGGCUGUGGAGCUCUUUUACAAUUUUCGUCUUAUCUCCCUUCUAAUCUAUAUAUAUAAAGCAAAAGGCAGAGAAUGGUGAAACAUUCAAAAUACCAAAAACUGCCCUUGGUUAAUGCAAACAUUAAGAAUUCAAAUUAUUAAUUAAAUGAGGAUAAUAUGGUAAAUUCACACUUUUUCAUAUUUAAAAAAAUUAAAAGAAAAAGAAAAAGCAGAUAAUGGAUCCUAUUUUUAUGGAACACAACUACCCAUUAUCUUUUUUAAUUCUAAAAUAAAUUUACUUAUUUUUAAAAAAAAAACCUCUCGCAAGCGCGGAAGCGCGUGCAGAGAGGCUAGUUAAACAUUAAAUUACUUGAUGCUUUCGACCGAAAAAGGAAAAAAGAAAUUACUUUAUGCAAUUUUCCUUGUCUUUUUCCUUUGUCAAUAAUUUACGGGCAUGAACUAAUAUAACAUUAGGACUUUAUAUUUUGUUAACUUUCAAAUUUUGUUUAAUCUUUUCCAAAAUUUGAUUUUUUUGAUGGACAUAUAACAUAAACAUACAUUAAAACUAAAUAAGUUAACAACAACAAAAAUGAACGCGUAAAAUAAAUUACGUCAUAAAAAUAAAAAAAAAACUUAUAGAGCCUCCCAUUGUGAGAAAGAUACCUUUAGAGCCAGUAAUAUUUCAUUAGGGCUCUAAAUGGAGUUCUAUCCACCAUAUUUAGAGCCUCAACCAUUGAGGAUGGCCUUAUAGAACCCUGGUUAUACAGCCUCUCAUUGUGUGAAAGAUACCUUUAGAGCUCGUAAUAUUUCAUCGGAGCUCUACAUAAAGCUCUAUCCACCAUAUUUAGAGCCUCAACUAGGAUGGCCUUAGAUAACCUGAUAAGAUAAACAUCGCCAUCCACCAUACGAAGUGGUGGCCUUAGAUGAGGUUUGUAAAUUAUAUCACCAUCUUUUUCAAUCCACAACGAGAAGAAAGAGUUGAAGGCGUAGAAACAAACAAAGCGGUCCAAAUAACAAAAUGCAUCACACUCAAAUAGGGACAGUGGGACUUUUUUGGUAGGUGCUUUCGGGAAAAAUGGUUAAAAAGAGGUCAAGUGGGGAUGGGGAUGGGGAUGGGGCUCUAUAUUUUAUGUAUUUUUAAUUUUGUGUGUCUCCUUGAGCCCCUCAUGACAGUAGCAGAAAAAUUCUCCACCACUUCGUAUUUUAGCUGCAUGUAGGCUUCCCAAGAGAUAGAAGAGAAGUUCACUUGGGGGCCCUGCAGGCCCUUAUACCCAAGCAAGUUCAAGGCUUCCUCCCUUUUAAUUUAUUAUAUAUUUUUUUUAAAAAGAAAAGAGAUAUAUAUUAUUACUCUCUAUUUUGCCACAUGGUAGGAAAGUCCCCACCUAAGUUUUUCUCUUUCGUGUUUAUCUCCUAGCAUGUAGGAUAUAUAUAUAUAUAUAUCAGUAGUGAAAAAAAUGCUCAUGUCCUCUAAACAAUUGUGCCAAAAAUUAACGGCUGGAAGAAGAAAGAGAGAGAUGGAUUUCUUGAGUUGUGUACUAUUAUGUCUUAUGGUUGCCUGGAUCGUAAUCCAAGCCCUCCAAUAUUCAUUUGCAAGAAGAAUUCCCACAAACCUUCCACCUGGACCAAAGCCAUUUCCUUUGAUUGGAAAUCUCCUAGAGCUUGGAAACAAACCCCACAUCUCUCUAACCAAGCUUUCAAAACGCUAUGGCCCCAUUAUGACUUUACAACUCGGCCAGAUAACAACAGUUAUAGUUUCUUCAUCCGCCGUAGCCAAACAAGUCCUCCGCACCCACGACCAAUUCUUCUGCAACCGAACUAUCCCAGAUGCAGUCCAAGCCUGCAAGCAUGCCAAGUAUGGCAUGCCCUGGCUGACGGUUUCCUCCACGUGGAGAAACCUCCGCAAAAUAUGCAACUCCCAUCUUUUCGCGGCCAAAGUUCUCGACGCCAAUCAGGCCAACCGUCACCUAAAAGUGCAGGAGCUCAUAGCUGACGUUAAGGAAAGCGUUGUGAAAGGUAAGGCGGUUGAAGUUGGAAGGGCUGCUUUCAAAACUACGCUCAAUUUGAUGUCACGGACUGUGUUCUCUGUGGAUUUAGCGGACCCGAACAGUGAGAGGGCUAGAGAGUUCAAGGAGUUGGUGUGGAGUAUUAUGGAGGAGGCUGGGAAGCCAAACUUGGCUGACUAUUUUCGUGUGCUUAAGAAGAUUGAUCCCAUGGGGAUACGGCGCCGUUUGGGCAAGCACUUCCAGAAGAUGAUUGAUCUUUUUGACCGCAUGAUCGUCCAAAGGUUAGAAUCAAGGAAGUCACGUGAUUAUGUCACCGGGAAUGAUAUGUUGGAUACUCUUAUAAACAUGAGCGAAGAGAAAAAUGAGGAUAUGGACAUGGCUGAAACUCAACAUUUGUUUCUGGUUAGUUGCUACUCUAGCUCUAUUAAUUAAUUGAUAAUUAAAUUGCUUAGAUAUUAUAAUGAUAACUUAUUAACGUAACUUAUUGCUAGAUUGUGUACCAUCUUAAUUGAUCAUUUUAAAAUUAUGACUAUGGUCACUUUUAUUUUUGUUGAGAUGGUAUAAGUACGUUAAUCCUACACUGAUCAAGGUUUUGUGUUCGAUCCCCUUAUAUUGCUUUUAUUAAACAAACUAUUAUAAUUUUUUUUCUCAUUAUAUGUCUAUGUGCGCAUAUUAAUUUGACUAAUUAACUUUUUGGUGAAUUAGGAUUUAUUUGGUGCGGGCACAGAAACAACUUCAGCCACAUUAGAAUGGGCAAUGGCUGAGCUAUUACGCAACCCUGAAAAGCUAUCAAAAGCUCAAGAGGAGUUGAAACAGGUCGUUGGCAAAGGAAAACCAGUGGAGGAAUCAGACAUCACUCGGCUCCCUUACUUACAAGCCAUAAUCAAAGAGACCUUCCGACUGCACCCAGUUGUCCCACUUCUUCUCCCUCGCAGAGCCCAAGCAGACAUAGAAAUCUGCGGUUACAUUGUACCAAAGGGUGCACAAGUGCUGGUCAAC